AGAAAGGGACAAUGGAAAUUGUUAUCUCCGUUGCUGCAAAAGUUGCAGAGUACUUGGUUGCUCCCAUAAUUCAUCCAUUUACUUACUGCUGCACCUACAAGACCAACUUCGAGAAGCUGAAUAAUGAAGUCGAUAAGCUAAAGAAUGCUAGAGAAAGUGUGCAGUAUGAUGUUGAUGAUUCCAGAAUUAAAGGGGACGGAAUCCAACACCACGUUGAGGAGUGGCUGAUUGCUGCGAACAAGGAGAUCAAUGAAGUCGAAACACUUAUUGAAGACAAAGAGAAGUCAAACAACCGGUGUCUGAAAGGGUUGUGUCCAAAUUUGAGGACUCGGUACCAGCUUAGCAAGAAAGCAGAACGAGAGGCGAAUGCUCUUGUUAGACUCCGUGAAAAAGGGAGCUUCCGCCGAGUUUCCAUCCGUACAAUUCCAGGGGAGACGUGGCUUAAGUCUACCAUGGAUUUCAUGCACUUUGAAUCGAGAAAGUCCACCUUGAAGGAGAUACUAGAUGCACUGAGCAACCGUAACUUCAACAUGAUUGGAGUGUACGGGAUGGGUGGGAUUGGAAAGACAACGCUGGUGAAAGAAGUUGGCAGACAGGCCAAGGAAAAUAAUCUCUUUGACAAGGUCAUUUCUUCACGCGUUUCUCAAACACCGCAAAUAAAAGAAAUACAAAGAGAAAUUGCAGAGAAGCUGGGCCUGAAAAUAGAUGAAGAGAGUGAAACUGUAAGAGCAUGGAGGCUGCUCGAACAAUUGAAGAAAGAGACGAAGAUCCUGAUAAUCUUGGAUGAUAUUUGGGGGAGUCUCGAUUUGGAGGCGAUUGGAAUUCCAUUGGCAGAUGAUAACGGCGGAUGUAAAGUUCUGCUGACAGCAAGAAGUCAAGAUGUGUUGUCUUGUAAAAUGGAUUGUCAACAAAAUUUUGUUGUUGAUGUUCUGAAUGAAAAAGAAGCUUGGAGUCUUUUCAAGAAUAUGACAGGUGAUUGCAUAGAAAAUGGUGAACUGAAAUCUGUAGCAACAGAGAUAGUCAAGGAAUGUGCUGGUUUGCCCAUUGCCAUUGUACCCGUAGCAAGGGCAUUGAGAAACAAGAGAUUGUGUGAAUGGAAGGAUGCUUUGCUAGAAUUAAAAAGGCAUUCUUUGAUAAGUUUCUCUGGGACACAAGCGGUGGCCGCUUAUUCAACUAUCGAGUUGAGUUACAAUCAGUUAGGAGGUGAGGAACUCAGGAAAACGUUUUUGCUAAUAGGAUACUCCUACAUAUGUAACGUUAAAGACUUGCUUUAUCAUGGCAUGGGUUUGGGUCUGUUUCAAAACAUCAACACGGUGGAUGAGGCACGGGAUAGAGCACAUACAUUGGUUGAUAAACUCAAGAACUCUUGCUUGUUGCUUGAUGGCAGGACAAGUGAACUGUUUUCUAUGCACGAUGUUGUUCGUGAUGUAGCCAUAUCAAUUGCAUCUAGAGACCAACAUGUGUUUGCGGUGGAAAAUGAGAAUGUUCCGCUGACCUGCUGGCCAGAUAAGGAUACACUGAAGGUUUGCACCGCAAUCUCCUUAUUUAAUACUAAUAUUAGUGGGCUUCCUCAAGGGUUCGAGUGUCCGCAACUUAAAUACUUUCGUAUUAGCAAUGUUCCUUCUUUGAGAAUUCCAGAUAACAUUUUUACUGAGAUGACAGAGCUUAGAGUUUUAGAUUUCACUAAGAUGCAUUUGUUGACAUUGCCUUCAUCGCUUGGUCUCUUACAAAACCUUCAAGCAUUGUCUCUGGAUUACUGUAAACUACGAGACAUGGCUAUUAUUGGAGAUCUAAAGAAAUUGGAAAUCCUUACACUUCGAGGUUCUAUUAUGCAGAAACUGGUUGAAGAGAUAGGCCGGCUGACUCAGUUGAGGUUGUUGGAUCUGAGCAACUGUUUCCUUCUAAAAGUUAUUCCACCAAAUGUCAUAUCAAGCUUAUCACGAUUAGAAGAAUUGUAUAUCGGUGAGAGUCCCAUUAUGUGGGGGAAGGUUGGAGGAGUCGACGGUGAAAGAAGAAAUGCCAUCCUUGAUGAGUUGAAUAAUUUAUCUAAAUUGACCUCUUUAGAAAUACUCAUCCAAGAUGAAAAGACUCUACCAAGAGACUUGUCGUUCUUCAAAAUGCUGCAAAGGUACAGAAUAUUGAUAGGAGAUCGGCGGCGGCGGUAUGGCCCAUCGGAUGGGAUUUCUAGAAAAUUCAAACUGAAGCUCACAAAUGGUGCCAACAUUUGCUUGAACGAGGGGCAUAUCAUGCAAUUGAAGCGUAUUGAAGACCUAACUUUAGAUGGAUAGCCGGACAUGAAGAAUGUUCUUUGUGAACCGGGCAGAGAAGUUUUCCACAGCUGAAUCGUCUCGAAAUCCGACGUAAUAGCAACAUUGUUCGUCUUGUUGACACAAUGGAUUGUACGCCAGCUCCGACGACCGCAUUCCCCUUUUGGAGUCAACAUAGAGGUGGAAGGGUGUGAUAAAUUGAAAAAAAGUAUUUCCAUUGGUCAUUGGCGGAGGCCUUCAACAACUUCAGUCCAUUAAAGUGAGUAGUUGCCAAAAUAUGGAAGUGAUUUUUGCUGCCGAGAGAGGAGAUGAAUCCAGCAAUAAUAACGGUUCUGAAGUGAUUGAACUCACUCAAUUGAGGAAACUUGAGCUUCGUUCUCUUCCGCAGCUUACAAGCUUCUGCACAGGUGAUCUGCAUUUUGAAAAGGUACGCAUGCAAGAUUUUUGUAAUUAUUUUUCAAUUCUUACGUACUGAAAAGUAUUUCUACUUUGAGAGUUCAGAGUUUUAUUGUCUUCCUCGCCCUCAUCACUUCGUCUUUUAGUAACAAAAUGUUAGUUCUAUAAAUCAGUUUAUUUAAUUAUACUUUAUAAUAUCCUUACAAACAUAAUUAUUUUCUUUUUUUAUGUCAGUUAGACCGAAUGAAAAAAAAUUAUUUUUUUCCUUCUUGUUCAAUUUUUUUUUUCUCUUAAUUAUCAGAGUUUUUCUUCUUCCUCUACUUUUUAUUUUAUGUCUACAUGUUUAGUUAAAUACACGGAAGAGACAGUGCAUUCGAUUAGCCAAACAAAGAAAAUACUCAUAAGAUCUAGAGUUUUUCAAGCCAUAGUUAAUUCCCUGAAAAUCGUUCAAGAGCUAUUUCCAAAUUAGUACUCCUUAGUACAGUAUUGUUACAUACAAAAUGAUUAUGAAUUUUGAUGUUGAACUAGAAAUUGGUCAUCUCGUGGUAACAUAAAUAAUAUACAGCUGAAAAUACACAUUACUUAAAUGGAAUGCUUUGUUUUUACUUUGUAUUUACAGCUGAAAAUCAUACUCUCUGCGAAUAUGUAUAUAUUUGUCCGGCCAUCAAUAUGCAUCAUUGGAAUGCUUUGUAUUUACUUUAAUUUGUGAAAUUGUAAGAAAGAAGUGUUAACUCCAUCAAUAUGCAUCAUACUCUCUGCGAAUAUGAAAAGCACAUAUGCCUAUUUCCAGAAGACUGGCUUUGCAAACUUAAAUGUCUUGCUGUCCGGCUUGAUGAGUCAAGUACUAUUUUAUCACUUGACAAUUUCCUCCAUAGAUUUCACACCAUCAAAAUUCUCUCUAUAGGAGGGAACAAUAAGGCAGAUUUGGACACAUUAUUUGAAAACUUUGAAAAUUGGAUGAAAGCAGUGAUGAAGGUAAUAAAGCAUCGUCGUGAACUGAAGCAGAUUUUCAAACAAGAGUCAACCAAUACCAACAAUUUGGAAAAGCUGGAGAUAGUCGAGUGUGACAAUUUGACUAAUCUAGUGCCAUCCUCGACAUCCUUUCAGAACCUAACAACUUUGACGGUAUGGGGUUUCUCUAGAAUGAUACACGUACUAACAUCCUCAACCGCAAGGAGUCUGGUGCGACUGAGACAAAUGGAGAUAGGUAUCUGCAAGAUGAUAACAGAAAUAGUGGCAGAUGAGGAUGAUGAGGGAUAUAAUUAUGCAGCAAAAGAUGAAAUUGUUUUCAGCGAAUUAAAGGAAUUGUUGCUUUGGGACUUAAAAUGUCUGACUAGAUUCAGCUGCUCUGGGAAUAAUUGCGCCUUCAAAUUCCCAUCUCUAGAAACAUUACUGGUGGAUCGUUGCCCCAAUAUGAAGAUUUUCUCAGAAGGGGAAUUCAGCACACCCAAGUUACAGAAAGUGCAUCUGAGCGUGUUAGAUAAAAAACUUUGGGCUUGGGAUCGGGACCUUAAUACAACCAUUCAAUACAUAUAUCUUAAAAGAAAAAAGGUAAGUAUUCAUUCACUAUGAGAUGUUGAUUUAUUUUUUUUUUUCUAAAAAUUACUGAUUUAAUAACAGAUAUAUAUAAAAAAGUAAAAAGAAAAAAGUACAUAUUAAUUUUUUUAUAAAUUCAUUUUAAAUCUGAUUAGGAAGAGAAGGAAAAAGAGAAUGAGAAGUCUGCCAAGGCAAAUGAAAAGGAGAAAGAUGCGAAAGACAGUGGUAAGAUAAAAUCUAUACAAUUUGGGAGGUUUUGAUUUGAUUCUAUUUUGCUGACUAAAAAUGUUUUAUUUUUGUUGAAAUUUUUGUUAAAUCAUAUUGGUACAUCUUUUUAAAAUAUAACUACUCUGCUCUGUUGUUAUGUUGAGGAUUAGUUGUUAGACAGACAUAGCGAAAAAAAAAAAAGAAAUUAAUUGCUUACAGAGAGAAUUGAAAGAUUUUGUGUCCUUAAUAGAGGCUAAUUUGUGCAAUUACAUUAUGUGAAAACUGCACCUUCAAUGUGUUUUUACUCUUUGUUUACAGAUAGUCCAAGCUUCUAAAGAGGAUUUCCGCUACUUGUGCAGCAUUUUGGAUAAGGCUCGAGCUCGAGCACUUUCUAUAUAUUAAGAGUUAGAUGGUGUUGGUGAGAGGAUUUUUUGUUUCAGUUUUCAUUCAUUAUUAUGCUCUUAGCUUUGUUUUAGUACUCAGAAAUCCAAUUUGAAGCUAGUUUUAUUUCUUACGGAUGGUGUCCAAGAGCUUGCCAUAUUCAAUUUGUAGGCAUCUGAAAAUCUCUUUAAGCCCUAAUUAAUUAAAGAGAUGUGUGCAUCAUAUUUGUGUUCGUGCACCUAUUGGUAUUUAUUGGAGACAAUUUUGUGAGAAAUUAUGUGAUUUCAUGAAAAUAUCAAGAAUUUAUAUAGAAAAUUAUGGAAAAAUAAAAGUUUAUGGGGUCAAUUGCUCACUGUAGACAACAUGUGGAUCCUCCCUGGAGCCUAGGUGAAGUUGUCGUUUAUUGGUAUUAAUGAUCGCCAUUUUAGUUUAGAGAUUUGAGCCCAAGUUCCUCCAUUUACAUUAUUAUUAAUUAUUUUUGUUGGUGAAAGCUAAUUGAUUAGAAGAAUGCGACAAUAAGAAGAUUAAGUACUUUGCCACUAGCUUAGCUUACUUACAAAUCCACUAGCUUAGCUUAUAAUUAGAUACAUAAAAUCAUCAUCAUCACAAGAUUAUCUCACGUGUAAUAUCAAAGCUAAUUAUUGAAAAGCUUUGAAUGGUCUUCCAAUUUUGAAAAUGCCGGCAGCACUUGCAACUUCCAGGAAACUUCGAUUAUCUGCCAAGCAUAUCAACUGUUCGAUGAAAUGCCCAUGUAGCUGUUCCUAACUUGGGACUUGAGUUUCAUUAAAUUAGCAUCAUCUCACUGAUAUUAUGUAUUAAUGUAAUAAAUGGGCUUUCUUCCUAUUAUCUAAAGUCCAUUGUUAUAUUUCAAUAAUAGAUCAUAAUUAUUAAAUUCUAGUAUAUAUACUACACUCGUAACCUAGAUCAUUAAGAAAUUAGGCUUAAAUAUGAACAAUACUAGCAAGUAAAAAAAAAGUCAGCUGAGACCAAGUGUUUUUUUUUUUCACCCUAAAAAAAAGCACGCAAGCUCUAAUUUUGUAUAUAUUUUAUGAACAAUACUAGCAAGUAAAAGAAUUAUUUAAUGAUUUGAAGCAAGUCAGCUGAGACCAAGUGUUUUUAUUAUUUAGGCAAUUAGAUCAUGAAUGGUAAUCUUUCAUUUGAUCAAUUACCUCAAAAUACUCUCAUUUUACGAAGAACGUCAAAUAAUCAAAACUUAAUCGUCAUUAAUUAAAAGCUACUGUAGAAAGCUUGAACGGUCUUCCAAAUUGCAGGUUGGAAGAUGUGGACGGCAUUAGCAGCUGUCAGGAAUCUUCGUCCAAGUUGCGAGCCACCCGAUCCGAGUCUCAUCAUUUACUAUUUUUUUAAAACCUUUUUUAUUUCAUUUUCGUUUACUUUUGAGAAAAAGGAAAAUGUAAAGAUUGAAUAAGAUAAGAAUCAUUUGUUUGAAAAUUGAAAAAUGAUUGGAAGACUAAAUUAAAAUAAGACACACAAUUGAAUUUUAAAAAAUAUAUAUUGAAAAUGAUAUCGUUCUGGUUCUAAUUUAGAAAAAAAAAAUUCACCUAAAAUGACAUUAUUUUAAGUAUAUUUUUGUCAAUUUUUAAUCAAAUUUUAUUUCAAAUAUCAAUCUUGAAAUUUAGGUGAAGAGUCUAUAAUUAGAAGCACAUGGGUGGAUGGGGCCUCUUCGUUUUAAUUUUUGGCCUUAAUUAGUUUUCUGUGAUAUUUUGUUGACUGAAAAGCCAACGACUCAAGGAGUGGGCCAACUGUUCAAAUAUGUGAUAAGCUUGCGUGGGAGCUGAGGUGGUGGCCAGUGGCACAAUCUACUGGUGCUCGGUUCCGUGAUGGAAUAAACGAAUCCCAUCAUCAUGUAAGAUGGCGGUGAGGGUCUCCAAAGCAACUCGUAAGGAGAAGUAGGCGUGUGGACAUGGACAUGGGAAGGAAUAGUGCCCAAGGAGACGAGCAUGAGACCAGUGAGACGAUCACUCUAAGAAAGAUAGCAAAUGAGGCACAGGAAAGAGUGAUGCAUGAGUGAAUAGAGUGGAUAGAGAAGCAGAUGGAGACCCUCACCGCCAUCUUACAUGAGUUAAGGACGAGCAAAGAAGGGCUUAUGAUGCAAAUGCGACAAGGGAUGAUGUUGCCACAGAGCCCAGUCACCGGAGGAAUACAAAUGAGGAGAUCCCUUCAAUAAGGGGGACAGCUCAACGGGGUGCCUAACAAUAGAGUUGGAACUCAGACUUUGAGAGAGUGUGAGCAUGAAGGGAGAGAUCAAUUCCACAACAGACGAACCUUAGGAAGUUGUAGUAGAGGAGCGAAUGUCGAAGAAAGGGAGCUCAGGUAGCACCUGGUCGGGCCUUGGAACUGGAGGGAGAAAUACUGUGAUUGGCACAAAUAAUAGACGAAAUGCAGGGCAGGAGAAAGCCCCUCAGUUGGAGAAUAAUGCUGGAUGACGAAUGUCGGCUUUCAGCUGAAAUCAUGGGCACUAUGAUACCAAGAUAUUUUCAUUUUCUCAACAUCAAAUACUCAGGAAAAAGUGGCCCGCUGGUGCACGUCGAGCGCUUUAACGACAUGACUGGAGUGUAGGGGCUAACACUAGCGCAGAGGUGCAGAGUAUUCCCUUUGACAUUGGAAGGACGAACACGAGAUUAGUACCUUCCCUUUGACACCGGCAGGGACUUGCAACUUCCAGGAACCUUCGAUUAACCCAAAAAAAAAACACAUAUAGUUUGAAAUUAUAUGAUGAUUGAUAGGAAUGUAUUUUUGUAGUAAUCUUUUAUUUGAUCAUUUAUUUUUUGGUAUUCCGUGAAAGGUGUGCAAAAUUAGAUAAUAUUUCUCUGAAACUGGUAUUCCUUGUGCGAAACAUCACAUGCUGAGAGCUUCGACUAAACUAGUUUCAAUUGUACUUUUACUUACACGCUGCCGCUACAGCUUUGGAAGCGUAAAAUUAUGUGCGCAAUUCCUUCAUUUGAUCAUCUUAACUAAAGAUGUGUGAACUUACCAUUUCUGUGCAUCCCUUGUAUUAUGUGCAACAAUUUUCUGGUGAAUGUGAGAGAUUCUAUUCAAGUUUAUUUUUGUGAUCACGUGCGCACGUCAGGCAUUGCAAGCGUAAAUGCAAAUUAAGUCACCUGAACAUGCAUGCGAUAUAGUAAUUUAUUGUUAUUAUCAAUUAUUCCAUUCUUUUCUUUCGAAACUAAAUUUCAACUACUUGAGAUGUGAAAUUCUUAAUAGCAGAUAUUCUUUGUAUAUGUAUGAUCGGAUCCUGAGUACAGGGCACCUGCUGUCUCUGUUUUUAAUUGAAGCAUGUUUUUCGGCUUGAAAAUUCAUCUCAUCAGAUUAAGUGGUUUGAAGUCGAACGCUUGGCUCACAAAAUGUUGGUCAUUGAGAAAGCAAGUGGGCUGGAUGUUAUCUGGACUCGACCUCCUAAAUAAUAACACAACUAACUGAGUCUAUUCAGAUUUCGUCUCAUAUUUGACUGGCAAUAGCACAUCAAAAGUCUUGUGAGAGUCACCUCGUAUUGAUGUGCUUAAUUUACAAAGAUCAAAACCAGUAUCACGUUGCUUUAGUAAUUUGAAUUUGUGUUGGACUGAGUCGACAAAAAAGUCCUUCACCUCGUACUGAUAAUACAUUUAAAUUACAAAGAUCGAAAGCAGAUCUGUCAUUACAUGAAUUGGCUGUAUAAAAUAAUCAACUCACUUCUUAUUGUCAUCCGUUCUAUCAGCUCUUCGCAUUGGUCCUUUUCUUGUUUCCGUUUUCGUCUGAAAAAAACCUUCGCUUCUGUUAGUUUUUUAAUCUCACUUUCCUUUGGCCUCCUUCACUUUUAGAUUGUUAUCUGCUUACUCUACGAUUAAUGCCAUCUUUGAUGAUAUCAAGGCAGAAACAGAGAAGCAGAAGAGUGAAAGUACGGGCAUUCAGCGCGGAGUUUCUGAGACGAAAGCAAAAGGGCAAGAGAUUGAAGUGAAGGCUGAGAACAGUGCGGAACUAGAUCACUACUCAAGUCUCUCACUAAUCUCCUAAAUGGUUGUUUUUGCUUCCAUAGGCUACACUGGUUGGUUCUAAUCACAAAUUUGAGGAUUCUGCUGGAAACAUGUUGUUCAAAAAAUUGCACAAUUCAAUCUUUACUGUGGCUACCCAGACCGAAAUAAGUGCUCUGUUUGGUUUCACUUUGAAUUGUGCAAUUUUUUUAACAGCUUCCAGCAAGAUCCUCAAUUUGUGAUUAUAACCAACCACUGUAAUCUAUAGAAGGAGAAAUCAUUUAGGACAUCAGUGAAAGAUUUGAGUAAUGAUUAUUCUCACCCACACAUUCAUCAAUUUUUCAUCCAGGCUCAAUUUACAAAAUUAUUAGCGGGUUGCUACCUCGAUUAUGUUGACAGAAAAUAGAGGUUUGUAGGCAAACAAAGAGCAUUGUUAUUUGAACAGCUGCAAGAUAUUCGGAAGACAUGCAGAAAUAUGGGUAUUGCUUAUGCUAUAGUGCCAUUGCAGCAUAAAAUUGACAGCACAAAUAUCAUUUUCCACAAACAAAACAUGUAAUAGCACGCUCCAGGAGCAGUUUCUUACACUCUUGAAGUUGCCUACAAUAAGAUCAAAUCCAACAUUCUCCCUCAAUUUAGUGUUCUAAAACUGAUUUAUAUUUUAACAUAGAAAUCCAAUCUAAAAGCACUAUUAACGAAAGCUCUUCGUGUAAUCGUGUUUGCAUUAAAAACCAAGAAGCAGCUUUUUUUUUUUGUGGGGGAGGGGGGAGAACCUCAGUCUAAUAAGAUAAAAUUACUUUGGGUGGGUUAUUUACAUUCUAGAAAAAAAAAAAUUUCUGAACACUACUAUACUUUAUUGGCUCAUCUAGUAAAUUUUAAAUUUUUAUUUUUAUUUUGUAUACUCUAUUAAAUGUCAAAAAAAAAAAAAAAUCAUCACACAAAACGAGGAUUCAUGAAAACCAUCUAUGUAGCAUCUGAAAUGAGGCCAUUUUUUUCUGUAUAAUUUGUGAGGCAUUAUAUUAUAUGGAGCUUGACUUCUUUCUCUUUAUCAAGGGUAAGAUGGCGUUGGCGAUCAAGAGGGUCCCCCUGUUUCUUUGUUUUCAUUAAUAUUACUUCGAAUCCACUUUCAGGUUGAGUGUCUAACGAUUUGAUUAAAUUUGUGUUUAGUUAAAUGUAUUGGAUUUCUGGAGUAUUUUGGUAGUUAAUGAUGAAACUCGGCAUUAGAUGAACUUACAGUCAUUCUAAUGAUAAAUUUUUUUGUCAUCGAAAGUCAUUGAGUAUUAUUGCGGCAGUAAGCUACAUUGAAGUAGCAUUCCAUAUAUAACUAUCAGUAAUUAUUCUGGGUAUUCAACGUGAAUGAAACCUCUAUUACAAUAGUGAAAUGAAUUGAAGUUUUAGUGGAGCUCUGUUUAAUCAAAUCGUGGGAAAUAAAUUUAGUAGCAGAACUGGGAAAUUAUUAGUUGCUCCGUCGAGUCAACCCAAAAAAAUCAUAACAAUGACUGAAAUCAUUUAUAGAACUAAACACAAAUUUAAUCAAAUCAUUAAACGUGUACGUGAUUGCCGCUGGUAUUAAAAUGAAAACAUUUAGUUCACACGUACAUCACUCAGCGUUUGGAAUUCGUCAUUUGGGUCCUCACGUGUAUGCAUCACGUGCACCACUCAUUCUGAGUUUCUGACCAAGUCAAAGUUCAAUUAAAAUUCUUUGCAGCAGGAAGGUGGUGUGGUGAGUAACUCACUCAACUUGUGAACCGUGAUUAGUCAAAUAACCAAGUACACGUGGCAUAAUGAAACGCUUCGAAGAGUAACCUCUGAAGGUCUGUCGAGUAUGAUGACAUGGCAGCAACGUUUUACAUGUAAGCAUGGUAGUGAUCGCGUAGAAGCUGUGUAUGAAACCUCUUAUAACAUUCCUUCAUCUGUCAAGUCAAAUUUUCCUCGGAGUCAAGAAAUGGAGAACUAACAGGUAUGCAUUUCUUAAACCAUUAUUAUAUUCAAAAACAAGGAUUCGUAUAAAUACAAAUUGAAUGGCAAGAAUAGGAAUGAAAUCAUCCACAGAAAUAAACACAAAUUUAAUCAAAUCAUUAAACACUCUUGCUCGAAGUUUUCUUCUUUGCUGAUUCUUUGUUUUGUUCAUUGUUUGAUCAUCGACUCCUGUUAAGCUUUGUGUCACUUCUUGUUUGGGAUCUUUUCUUGGGUCCUUCAAGAUUUUGUUCUUGGUUCAAUUGAGCUUUGGAAUAGCCAUUACAUCCAGGAUAUAUUUUAUUAACAACUAAUUUCUAACAUUUGUUUAUCCUCAAUUGAUAUCAGUAACACUCAAAUCUAUCCGAAAUUCUUUACAAUCCCUAAUAUAUUUAAAAGGGUUUAAUUUUGACAUUUUAAUAACUUCCAUUAGGCCAAGCAUAUUUAGUUUCUUGAAGAUUUAUUCCUGAAAAAUCCAGCCUGAUUUUUUUUUAACGUUCUUUUAUAUUUUAUUAACAACUAAUUUCUAACAUUUGUUUAUUAAUCAAGAUAGAGUUCGAGUUUAAUGACAAAAUGAUCAUGAUUUUAAUUUAAAGAUAUGAGCCCAAAAUCCUACUGUUUACAUAUUAAAAUCACUUGAUUAUCAUAUAUUACUCAAUAAUCACUUGAUUAUUUGAAAAAUGCCGGCGGCACUUGCAACUCCCUGGAACCUUCGGUGUAAGUUUUCGAGUACAUCAACUGUUGGAUAAAAUGCCCAUUUGAAGAAACUAAUAGAAAAUUGAGAUCCUCUCUUGAAUAGAGUUUACCCUUGAAAAAUAAGUAUGCAUUAUCAUUCAUGUAUUGUCAAAAUUUGAGCUUAAGAUCCAACUAUUUACAAAUUAUUAAUUAUUUUUGUUGGUGAAAGCAAAUUGAUUAGAAGAAUGUGGCAAUAAGAAGAUAAAAAUGCUUGCUCAAAUACUUUGCCGUGUGUUCUUACUUACAAAUCCACCAGCUUAGCUUUUAAUCACAUAUCAAGCUUAUCACGAUUAGAAGAAUUGUAUAUCGGUGAGAGGCCCAUUAUGUGGGGGAAGGUUGGAGGAGUCGACGGUGAAAGAAGAAAUGCCAGCCUUGAUGAGUUGAAUAAUUUAUCUAAAUUGACCUCUUUAGAAAUACUCAUCCAAGAUGAAAAGACUCUACCAAGAGACUUGUCGUUCUUCAAAAUGCUGCGAAGUUACAGGAUAUUGAUAGGAGAUCACCGGUGGUCGGGUGGCCCAUCUUAUGGGACUUGUAGAAUAUUCCGACUGAUGCUCGCCAGUGGUGCCAACAUUUGCUUGAACGAGGGGCAUAUCAUGCAAUUGAAGGGUAUUGAAGACCUAUGUUUAGGCGGAUCGCCGGACAUGAAGAGUGUUCUUUAUGGAUCAGACGGAGAAGGUUUUCCACAGCUGAAGCGUCUCCAAAUCGAACAUAAUGGCAACCUUUCUUGUGUUGUUGACACAAUGGAUUGUACGCCAGCUCGGACGACUGCAUUCCCCCUUUUGGAGUCAUUAUUUCUGAGAGAUUUAAGGAACCUUGAGGAAAUAUUUUUUUAAAAAAGAAAUUUGUAAGAUUUUCAAUUCAAACCAAAUAAACGGAUCAAUUAAAAGAAUCUCAAAGUUUAAAUGGAAUUUGAGAAUAAUUGAAGUCUUUUUCAUAGAGAUUAUGCACAAAUCUAAUAAAAUUUGAAAAUCUAUCUACCGGACAAGAGUUAAGAAGAGAGAAUGGAAGAAAAUACGCAUUACUUAAAUGGAAUGCUUUGUUUUUACUUUGUAUUUACAGCUGAAAAUCAAACUCUCUCCGCAUAUCUAUUAAUUUGUCCGGCCAUCAAUACGCAUCAUUGGAAUGCUUUGUAUUUACUUGAAUUUGUGAAAUCGUUAGAAAGAAGUGCUAACUCCAUCUUGCCACUUUUGUGAUUGAUGAUCACCCAGGUGUUCCCCAAUUUGGAAAAAUUGAGGGUUGAUCAAAAGCACAUAAGCCUAUUUCCAGAAGAUUGGCUUUGCAAACUUAAAUGUCUUGAUGUCUGGCUUGACGAGUCAGGUACUAUUUUAUCACUUGACGAUUUCCUCCAUAGAUUUCACACCAUCAAAAUUCUCUAUGUAGGAGGAGACGAUUAUGUUUUGUACACAUCAUUUAAAAACGUUGAAAAUGGGAUGAAUGCAAGGAUGAGAGGGAUAAACCAUCGUCGUGAACUGAAGCAGAUUUUCAAACAAGAGUCAACCAAUACCAACAAUUUGGAACAGCUGGAGAUAGUCGAGUGUGACAAUUUGACUAAUCUAGUGCCAUCCUCGACACCGUUUCAGAACCUAACAACUUUGAAGGUAAGUGGUUGCCCUGGAAUGAUAAACGUUCUAACAUCCUCAACAGCAAGGAGUCUGGUGCGACUGAGACAAAUGCGGAUACAAUCAUCCAAGAUGAUAACAGAAAUAGUGGCAGAUGAGGAUGAUCAGGGAGAUAAUUAUGCAGCAAAAGAGGAAAUUGUUUUCAGCGAUUUAAAGGAAUUGAUUCUUUGGAACUUAGAAAGUCUGACUAGUUUCAGCUGCUCUGGGAAUAAUUGCGACUUCAAAUUCCCAUCUCUGGAAACAUUAGUGGUGGAAGAUUGCCCCAAUAUAAAGAUUUUCUCACGAGGAGAAUUAAGCACACCCAAGUUACACAAAGUGCAGAUGAGCCUAGUCGAUGAAAAACUUUGGGCUUGGGAUCGGGACCUUAAUACAACCAUUCAAUACGUAUAUCUUAAAAGGAAAAAGGUAAGUAUUCAUUCACUAUGAGAUGUUGAUUUUUUUUUUCUAAAAAUUAAUGAUUUAAUAACAGAUAUACAUAAAGAAGUAAAAGGAAAAAAGUACAUAUUAAUUUUUUUAUAAAUUUAUUUUAAAUCUGAUUAGGAAGAGGAGGAACAAGAGAAAGAGAUGUCCGCCAAGGUGAAUAAAAAGGAGAAAGAUGCAAAAAACAGUGGUAAGUUAAAAUCUAUAUAAUUUGGGAGGUUUUGAUUUGAUUCAAUUUUGCUGACUAAAAAUGUUUUAUUUAUGUUGAUUUUUUUGUUAAAUCAUAUUGGUACAUCUUUUUAAAAUAUAACUACCCUACUCUAUUGUUAUGUUGAGGAUUAUUUGUUAGACAAGACAUAGCGAAAAAUUAAAAAAUUAAUAAAUGAAAUUAAUUGCUUACAGAGAGAAUUGAAGGAUUUCUGUGUCCUUAAUAGAGGUUAAUUUGUGCAAUUUAAUUAUGUGAAAACUGCACCUUCAAUGUGUUUUUACUCUUUGUCUACAGAGUCUCCAAACUUACGAAGACGAUUUCCGCUACUUGUGCAGCAUUUUGUAUAAGGCUCGAGCUCGAGUUCGAGUUCUUUGUACCUAUUAAGAGUCAGAUGGUGCUGGUGAGAGGAUUUUUUGUUUCAGUUUUCAUUCAUUAUUAUGUUUUUAGCUUUGUUUGAGUACUCAGAAAUCUAAUUUGAGGCUAGUUUUAUUUCUUAUGGAUGGUGUCCAAGAGCUGCCAUAUUCAAUUUGUAGGCGGAUCGCUGGACAUGAAGAGUGUUCUUUACGGAUCAGACGGAGAAGGUUUUCCACAGCUGAAGCGUCUCGAGGUCGUAGAAAAUAGCAACCUUUUAUGUGUUGCCGACACAGUGGAUAGAGCAACAGCUCCGACGACUGCAUUCCCCCUCUUGGAGUCAUUAUUUCUGCAAGAUUUGAGUAACCUUGAGAAAAUAUGUCGCGGUCCACUCUCGGCAGAGUCUUUUUGCAAAUUAAAGAGCAUAAGUGUGGGAGGUGCGAUAAAUUGAAAAAUGUAUUUCCAUUGGUCAUUGGCAGAGGCCUUCAACAACUUCAGUCCAUUAAAGUGACUGGAUGCCAGAAUUUGGAAGUGAUUUUUGCUGCCGAGAGAGGAGAUGAAUCCAGCAAUAGUAACACGCAAGUCAUUGAACUCACUCAAUUAAGGACACUCAAACUCCGUUCUCUUCCGCAGCUUACAAGCUUCUGCACAGGAGAUCUGCAUUUUGAAUUUCCAUCAUUGGAAAAAUUAACAAUACUGGAAUGUCCCCAAGUGAAAUUUAAAAGCACUAUUCAUGAGUCCACCAAGAAGGAACGUGCAAGACUUUUGUAAUUAUUGUUCAAUUCUUACGUACUUAAAAGUAAUUCUACUUUCAGAGUUUAGAGUUUUAUUGUCAUCAUCGUCGCCCUCAUCACUUUGUCUUUUGGUAACAAAAUGUUAGUUGUAUAAAUCAGUUUAUUUAUACUUCAUAAUAUCCUCAUAAACAUAAAUCAGUUUAACAAAAUGUUAGAAAACAAUUUUUUUUUUUAAUUCUAGUUCAAUUGUUUUCUCUUAAUUAUCUGAGUUUUUCUUCUUCCUCUAUUUUUUUACUUUUUUUUUAUGUCUAUAUGUUUACUUAAUACACGAAAGAGAGAGUGCAUUUGAUUACCCAAACAAAGAAAAUUCUAAUAAGAUUUAGAGUUUUUCAAGCCACAGUUAAUUCCCAGAUAAUCUUUUAGGAGCUAUUUUUAGAUUAGUAUGCCUUAACAAUUAAUAUUGUUACAUACAAAUGAUUAUCAAUUUUGAUGUUGAAGAAGAAAAUGGUCAUCUCGUGUUAACAUAAAUAAUAUUCUUAAAAAUAUAUAUAGAGAGAUGAACAAAACUCAAAUGAAGAAAUCUUGUCCUAUUAAAUUUUCUGCACAAUAAAAUCCUUUCUUGUACAAUAGUGAAUAUAUCCAAUCCCGUUGGGUUGGAUGAAUAUUAAUGAAAUACGAGCUUCUUACUAUAUUAUUAAACUUUUUAAAUUCAAGUUAUUUAUUCAUUUUUGCUUUUGUUAAAAAUAAAAUAAAAGUUAAAAUAUCCUUUUUUUAAAAAAAAAGAAAUUUGUAAGAUUUUCAAUUCAAACCAAAUAAACCGAUUGAUUAAGAGAAUCUGGAAGUUUAAAUGUAAAUUGAGAAUAAUUGAAUUCUUUUUCGUAUGAUAUAUAUAUAUAUAUAUAUAUAUAUAUAUAUAUAUAUAUAUAUAUAUAUAUUUAUUUAUUUAUUUAUUUAUUUAUUUAUUUAUUUAUUUAUCUGGCCAUCAAUAUUAUUCAUCAUUAGAAUGGUUUGCAUUUACUUUGAUAUGUGAAAUUUUCACAAAGAAGAUCAACUCCACCUUGUUUUUUCUGUGAUUGUUAGAAAGAUCAUAUGCUACACACUCACACACAUAGAGACACACAUGAACGAUAGGCCAUCAAUAUUCAUCACCGGAAUGCUUUGCAUUUACUUUAAUUUGUCAAAUUGUUAAAAAGAAGAUCUAACUCCAUCUUGCUUUUUUUUUUUCUUUUUUUGAUUGGUAAUCACCUAGGUGUUUCCCAAUUUGGAAUAUUUGAGUGUUCAUGAAAAGCAAAUAGGUCUAUUUCCAGAAGACUUGCCUUGCAAACUUAAAUGUCUUAAUGUUUGGGUUGAUGGGUCAACUGCUAUUUUAUCACUUGACGAUUUCCUUCAGAGAUUUCACACCAUCAAAGUUCUCUGUAUCGAAGGGUACGAUUAUGAUGGGGAAGAACUAUUUGCAACGGUUGAAAAUGGGGUGAAUGCAAGGAUAAGGGGAAUAAACAUACAUCCUGAUCUGAAGCAGAUUUUGAAACAAGAGUCCUCCCAUGAGAACAAUUUGGAAGUACUGGAGAUAUAUGGAUGUGGCAAUUUGAUUAAUCUAGUGCCAUCCUCGACAUCGUUUCAGAAUCUAACAACUUUGGUCGUAGAUUGUUGCGAUGGAAUGAUAAACAUACUAACAUCCUCGACAGCAAAGAGUCUGGUGCGACUAAAACAAAUGAAGAUAUUUGACUCCAAGAUGAUAACAAAAAUAGUGGCAGAUGACGAUGAUGAGGGAGACAAUUAUGCAGCAAACUAUGAAAUUGUUUUCAGCGAAUUGAAGGAUUUGCUGCUUUCAGACUUAGAAAGUCUGACAAGUUUCUGCUCUGUCAAUAAUUGCGCCUUCAAAUUCCCAUCUCUAGAAAGAUUAGUGGUGGAAGAUUGCCCCAAUAUGAGCAUUUUCUCAGGAGGAGAAUUAAGCACACUGUAACGACCUUUUAUUUUUGACAAUAUUUUAUUUUGGGAUUAUUUCCAUAAGCUAUUUUUUAGGUGUUUUGAAUUACUGUUUUUGUUAUUUAAAAUUGUUUGGAGUGUUUUCUUCCAAAAAGGGUGGCUUAAUCAGUGUGGGCUCUUUGGCUCUGACUUUUAAAGAAGCGGGUUGGCUGCUGUAAAGGAAAAAAAAGUUAUCAAUAAAAAAUCAGAUUUUUAGUCAAAUUAGUGUUUCUUCUUCCUGGCUGUUUCAUUGGUACCAGAGCAGCGAACUAGCACCGUAAAAAAUGGCGGAGGGAACUAGAGCACACGAUCAGCGACGUCUAGAAGAAUCGGUACAUCAAUUGCAAGAGGCUUCUAACCAGCAGGCAAUUGAAUUGAAGGAGUUUUCUCAGAUGAUGACAGCGAUCAGUCUCAAACUUGAUCAUAUGAUGGGCACAUCAGGGGCUUCAGGAACAAGAACGGGUCGAACUCUGGUAUGUAUAACUCACAGAUGAGAUUUUCAAAAUUGAAUUUUCCAACAUUUGAGGGAGAAAAUCCUAGUGGUUGGGUCUACAAGUGUGAACGGUUUUUCAAAUACAAUGGGGUGGAAGAAUCUGAUAUGGUGGGAUUGGCAACCAUUCAUUUGGAAGGAAAAGCGUUAGAGUGGUUCCAAGGAUAUGAGGUGGCUGUUGCAGAACCUAGUUGGAGGCAGUUUUCUACGGAUUUAAUGGCGCGGUUCAGUCCGAGUACCUAUGAUAACCCAGUUGGACAGCUCAGUAAGUUAAGGCAGACUUCAACAGUAAGCCUUUACCAAGAACAAUUUGAAGCAUUGGUGGCCAGAACUUGAGGAUUACCGGAAGAUUUUUUUGUGCAAUGCUUUGUGAGCGGAUUGAGAGAUGCCAUAAAGAAUCAGGUAGCCAUGUUUCAGCCGAAAAUGCUAAUUCAAGCAGUUGGGUUAGCCUUGUUACAAGAGAGUACCUUGGAGGCAAUGAUCAAAGAAGCCAAGGCUUCAACAAGGACAAUGUCCUCCCAUGUAAUCCCUACAGCAGAAUCGAAACGCAAUUCUAUGGGACAAAUUCCUCCAAUCAAAAGAAUAUCUGAUGUAGAAAUGCAAGAGAGGAGGGCUAAGAAGUUGUGCUACUACUGCGACAAGAAGUUUGAACCAGGGCACAAAUGUAAACGGCGGCAGAUUUACUUGUUGGAAGGAGAAGAUGAUGAAGAACUCAGUGAUGAAGGUAACAAAAUUGGGGAUGAUGAAGAGGAUCAUUUGGUGUCUCUCCAUGCUAUGUCUGGGGCUGUCUCUCAUCAAACUAUGAGGAUUAAAGGAAAUAUAAAGAAGAAGGGAAUUAUCAUCUUAAUUGAUUCUGGUAGUACUCAUAAUUUCUUGGAUGUGUCGGUGGCCAAGCGGACAGGAUGUGAAGUACAGCAAGAUAAACUAUUAAUGGUGGCAGUGGCUAAUGGCUCCAAAAUUGCUAGUGCUGCAACGUGUAAGCAAUUGGUCUGGAGUAUGCAAGGGAGAGAGUUCAGAGCAGAUAUGAGACUGAUUCUGUUGGGGGGAUGUGAUAUGGUAUUAGGAAUUCAAUGGUUAUCUUAAUUGGGCCCAAUAUUGUGGGAUUUCAAGAAUUUAUGGAUAGAGUUCAAGUGGGAAGGAAGAAGAAUGGUGUUAAAGGGUUCUACGGCGGGGCCCUUGAAGCUAGUUUCGGCAGUCCAUAUGCAAAAGGAUCUGAAACAAGUUCCUCAAGUUGCUGCUGCCCAUAUCUUUUCACUCUUAUUAUAGCCAUGUAUUAACUCUACUACUACAGAAAUCAUUACAGAUGAACCAGCAGAGUUGCAACAUUUAUUAAAAAAAUAUCAUGGCGUAUUUAUGGAACCAAAAGGUUUGCCACCACCAAGGGCUCAAGAUCAUCGAAUUCCCUUGUUACCUGAUAGUGUUCCUCCAAAUAUAAGACCCUAUAGGUACCCAUAUGUGCAGAAGGUAGAGAUUGAACGAAUGAUUAAGGAGUUGCUCGCGGCGGGGAGUAUACAGAGGAGUGUAAGUCUGUUUUCUUCUCCGAUUCUCUUAGUUAAAAAAAAGGAUGACACUUGGCGCAUGUGUGUGGAUUAUCGUGCCCUUAAUUCUAUCACUAUUAAGGAUAAAUUUCCCAUACCUAUUAUUGAUGAGCUGCUGGACGAGUUACAUGGAGCUAACUUUUUCUCUAAGCUGGAUUUGCGGUCGGGAUACCACCAGAUUAGAGUACACCCAGAUGACAUCUUUAAAACUGCCUUUAGAACUCAUGAAGGGCACUAUGAAUUCUUGGUCAUGCCUUUUGGUCUUACGAAUGCUCCAUCAACAUUCCAAAGCCUUAUGAAUGAAAUUUUUCAGUCAUUCCUGAGGAAAUUUGUGCUGGUAUUUGUUGAUGAUAUCUUAGUAUAUAGUAAAAAUUGGGUUGAGCACAUGAAGCAAUUGGAGUUAGUACUGGAGACGCUUCUCAAAAAUCAUCUUUUUGUCAAAAAAUCAAAGUGUUCUUUUGGCAAAGAACAAGUAGAAUAUUUGGGACAUUUGAUUUAUGAGCAAGGAGUUGCUACUGACCCUGCAAAGAUUGAAAGCAUGAAGUGUUGGCCAUCUCCCAACUUGUUGAAGGCGUUGCGUGGGUUUUUGGGUCUUACUGUGUACUACAGGAGGUUUACAAAAGAUUAUAGGAAGAUUAGUCGGCCCUUAAUAGAUUUGCUUAAAAAGGAUAAUUUUUUAUGGAAUCAUACUGCGGAAGAAGCUUUUAAUAACUUGAAGUCAGCAAUGUGCACAGCACCUGUUUUAGCCAUGCCCGAUUUCUAAAAAACCUUUGUUCUUGAAUGUGAUGCAUCAGGGGAAGGCAUAGGAGCAGUGCUUUCGCAGGAAGGCAGACCCAUAUCAUAUUUGAGUAAGGCACUGUCACCAAAAAACUUGGGCUUGUCUGCUUAUGAAAAUGAAAUGUUGGCAGUAGUGUUCGCAGUGCAAAAAUGGCGGCCUUACUUACUAGGGAAGCAUUUCAAGGUUAUUACUGAUCAUUUCAGCUUGAAAUACAUGUUGGAGCAGCGCAUAUCAACAUCUAUGCAGCAGAAAUGGCUUACUAAGUUAAUUGGUUAUGAUUUUGAAAUUAUUUUCAGAAGUGGAAGAGAAAAUAAAGUGGCUGACGCCUUAUCUCGGCUACAAGAAUCCACUGAGAAUGCGAUGGUAAUGGCGAUCUCCCUUCCUAUAGGUGUGUGGGUGGAACAACUCAAACAAGAAUGGCAACAGGAUUCAGAAAUUCAGAAAUUGAUUCAAGAAAUAGUUACCAACAGUGCUCGACAUUCUAAAUUUACUUGGGAAAACAAUUUACUCAAGUAUAAGGGAAGACUUUGGGUUGGCAAACAUUCAGCUUUAAAGCAGCUAAUUAUGUCUGAGGCUCAUGGUGGAACAGAAGGUGGGCAUUCGAGGGUUAGAAAAACCUUAGACAGAGUUAAACGGUCUUUUUAUUGGAAAAGGAUGCGAAGGGAAAUUUGUUCCUUUGUGGAAGCUUGUGAUAAUUGCCAACGAAAUAAACAUGAAAAUGUGUUAUCUCCAGGUCUGUUGCAGCCAUUACCAAUUCCUGAGCAUAAUUGGACUGAUAUCUCUAUAGAUUUCAUAGAAGGACUGCCAAAGUCUAGUGGUAAGCAAAUUAUUUUUGUGGUGGUGGAUAGGCUGAGUAAGUAUGCACACUUCAUGCCCUUAAGUCAUCCAUAUACUGCUCUUGAUGUUGCACAACUUUUUCUAGAUAAUGUGUAUAAGUUGCAUGGCUUGCCAAAUUCUAUUGUUAGUGACCGAGAUAAAGUCUUCACUAGUAUUUUUUGGCAAAGUUUGUUUUCCUUGUUGAAUGUGAACUUGUUAAUGACCAUUGCAUACCACCCGCAGACCGACGGUCAGACUGAAGUGGUUAACAAGUGCUUAGAAUAAUAUUUGCGAUGCAUGACAGGUGAUAGGCCGAAAGAAUGGGUGAAAUGGCUUCCUUUGGCUGAAUGGUGGUAUAAUACUUCUUAUCAUUUAUCAACUCGAAUGACACCGUUCGAAGUUGUUUAUGGUAGGCCACCUCCUUCGUAUAUUGCUUAUGUUCCUGGUACAUCUACCGUAGUAGCUGUUUAUUUGAGCUUAAAGGAUAGAGAUGCUAUGAUACGUUUUUUGAAAGCCAAUUUGGUGGAUGCACAAGCUCGAAUGAAGCUAUAUGCUGAUAAAAAGAAAUCCGAGAGGAAAUUUGAGGUGGGAGACGUGGUAUUUCUACGGUUACAGCCUUAUAAACAAGUAAGCUUGUCAAUUCACAGCAAUAGGAAGUUGUCUCCGAGAUUCUAUGAGCCUUAUAAGGUUAUACAAAAGAUUGGACAGGUUGCCUAUAAGUUAGAGUUGCCUAGAGAGUCCAAAAUUCAUCUUGUCUUUCAUGUUUCGUGUUUAAAGAAAAAAGUUGGAGAGGUUGUCACUCCGAUUACAGAGUUACCAACAAUACGAGAAAACGGGCACCUACAGUUAGUACCUGAUUCUGUUUUGGACAGGAGAGUAGUCCAGCGAAGCAAUCGUCCGUACGUGCAGUGGUUGGUUCAGUGGUCUAACUCCUUUCCCGAAGAUGCAACUUGGGAGGAUGCAGUUAAGAUUUAGGAGAAGUUUCCUUUGUUCAAGCCUUGAGGUCAAGGUUUUUUCUAAAAGGGGAGGGAAUGUAACGACCUUUUAUUUUUGACAAUAUUUUAUUUUGGGAUUAUUUCCAUUAGCUAUUUUUUAGGUGUUUUGAAUUACUGUUUUUGUUAUUUAAAAUUGUUUGGAGUGUUUUCUUCCAAAAAGGGUGGCUUAAUCAGUGUGGGCUCUUUGGCUCUGACUUUUAAAGAAGCGGGUUGGCUGCUGUAAAGGAAAAAAAAAGUUAUCAAUAAAAAAUCAAAUUUUUAGUCAAAUUAGUGUUUCUUCUUCCUGGCUGUUUCACACACCCAAUUUACGCAAAGUGCAGUUGAAGAGGUUUGAUGAAAGAGUUUGCGUUUGGGAUCGCGACCUUAAUACAACCAUUCAAUACCUAUAUCAACAACAAAGGUACGUGUUCAUUCACUAUGAAAUGUUGAUUUUUUUUCUAAAAAUUAUUGAUUUAAUGACAAAUAUAUAUAUAAAAGGAAAAAGAAAAAAGUGAUUAUUAAUGUUUUUAUAAAUUUAUUUUAAAUCUGAUUAGGAAGAGAGGGAAAAAGAGAAUGAGAAGUUUGCCAAAGUGAAUGAAAAGGAUAAAGAUGCGAAAGACAGUGGUAAGUUAGAGUCUAUACAGUUUGGGAGGUUCUGAUUUGAUUUUGUUGUGUUGACUAAAAAUAUUUUAUUUAUAUUGAAAUUUUAGUUAAAUCAUAUCGGUAUAUCUUUCUAAAAUAUAACUACUCUGCUCUAUUGUUAUUGUUGAGUGUUAGAAAAUACAUAUUUAUAAAGGAGAAAACCGUCAUUUUACAUUUCAAGUCUUAUUAACAACCCUUACUUUUAUGUAUUUAACCUUCUUGUGAUUUAAUUACAUGUGUUUUAUUUUAAUUAAGUAUUUUAUGUAUUUUAGGGGCAUUAUAGUCAUUUCACAAUAAAGGAGAGAUCAGAUGGCAAAACGGACAUCACUUUUGAACUCAGGACGGUCGAAAACCUUAGGAGGGGCAUAAAAGGAAAAAUGGCACUAUUCACAUGUACGGUACUAUUCACGUAUACGGUACUGUAUAUGCUACUGUUCACGGCACUGUUCACAUAGACGGAUCGAUGACGUUGCAUUGAUCGAUGACGUGGCAUUGACCGAUGACGUGGCAUUGACCGAUGAUGUGGCAUUGACUGAUGAGCUGUCACGAUCCUGUUGGACUAAAAUUCUUAUGUACUGUUGAUGGUGACGUGGCAGCAUAUCAGUGGAUGAAAAAUCUCGCGUACGGUGCAUGCAUCACACAGGAUUAUUUUCAACCAAACCGCGUUACUGUUCAUCCGGGUCAAACCGUGUUACUGUUCAUCCGCGUGGUCAAACCGUGGACUGUUGACUGAUGACGUGGCGCAAUCCUGAGCGUCCAAACUGUUUUUAAUCCGAUGGCCAUGAUUUACUCCAUGUAUCUAUAAAAAGGGGGCCUCCCCCCCCUAAUUUGAUAUCUCUGAAUCCAUUUUUGGGAUCCAUUUUCUGUAAUUCCCUCUCCAUCUUGUAUUUUCUUUGCAUUUUAAUAAAUUCCCAUUUUGCCCCUAGUUCAAUUAUGAGUAGCUAAUUUCUUUUCAAGCUUGGGUUGAAGGUGAAGUCUCAACAUGUGUCAUGGGCUUUAUUUGGUAAAUUUAUUUUCUUUUCCCCUCUAGUUUUUGUGGAUGAUUUGACUUAUCGUCGACAAAUAAUACUGAUCUUGUCUAGAUACCGCCUUGGUUACACCGGCUCUCUAGUAUAAGGUUAUUAUUAUUUGGCACGAUAAGCCCUUAGCACCAUAUUGAUUAGAGCGUGGUUCAUGAGGUGUGGAUUCCCCCCUCAUGAUUUAAUUGGCAUUAAUAAGGAAUAUUUAGCCCAUGAUGCAUGUUGAUACGGAUCCAGAUACCCAAGUACGUCAAUUUAAUCGAUUUUCUCUACAAUUUAUUCUCGCCAUUGCAAUUCCAAUUUUAGCAUAUUUUAAAUCACUUCCACCACAAAUCCAACCACCCAUUUUGCAAAAUUAAUUCUAUACACAAUUAAAAUCCUCCUCCUCGUGGGAUCGACACUCGUCACCAUUGAUCUACACUACAAUAGAUUCGUGCGCUUGCGAGUACAUUAAAAUUUGCACAACAGUUAUGUUGAAGAUUAGUUGUUAGACAAACAUGGCAAUAAAUAAAUAAAUAAAAUGAAAUUAAUUGCUUCCAGAGAGAAUUGAAGGAUUUUUGUGUCCUUCAUAGAGGCUAAUUUGUGCAAUUUAAUUAUGUGAAAACUGCACCUUCAAUGUGUUUUUGCUCUUUGUUUACAGGGAGUCCAAACUUAUGAAGACGAUUCAGGCUAACCUUCUGUACGGUAUCUUGAAUAAGGCAUCGAGAUCUUUCUAUGUAUUAAGAGUCAGAUGGCGUUGGUGAGAGGAUUUUUUGUUUUAGUUUUCAUUUCAUUAGUAUGCUUUUAGCUUUAUUUGAGUACUCAGAAAUCCAAUUUGAAGCUAGUUUUAUUUCUCAUGAGAGCUGCCAUAUUGAAUUUGUAGGCAUCUCUGAAAGUCUCUUUAAGCCUUAAAUUAAUUAAAGAGAUGCGUGCAUCAUGUUUGCGUUCGUAUACCUAUUGGUAUUUAUUGGAGACAAUUAUGUAAGAAAUUAUGUAACUUCAUGACAGUAUCAAUGAAAAAAGAAAAGUUUAGGGGGUCAAUUGGACACCAUCUGCCAUCAUGUUUGCUCACUGUAGGCACCAUCUUGAUCCUCCCCGACCCUAGGUGAGGAUUGAUGAUGAUUGUCGGUUAAUCCAAAGAUUUUUUAAAGGUAAAAAAAAAAUUAUAAAUUGUGGCAUCAACUUUGUAAUUUCUUUAAGCCAUUAAAAUAAAAUAUAUAAAAGUUGGGUCCUCUCUUGAACAUAGUUUAAAUUUAAUAAAUAAGUAAACAUUAUUAUUAUUCUUGUGCUGUCAACAUUUGUGUGUUUUUUUUUGUUAAUUUUAUUAACAACUAAACACUAGUAGUCUAUAUUUGUUGAGUUGAAAACGUUGAUUAAGAUAGACUUAUUGUAGUUUGCUUAUAUUAAUGAUCACGAGUUUAAUUUAGAGAUUUGAGCCCAAGUUCCUCCAUUUACGUAAUUAAUCAUUUUUGUUGAUUAACGCUAAUUGAUUAGAGGAAUGUGAUAACGAAAAGAUGAAAAUACCUGCUCAAAUGUUUAGUGAUUUGGAACAAGUCAGCUGAGGCUAAGCAUUUUUAUUAUUUUGGCAAUUAGAUCAUGAAUGGACAAUCUUUUUGUUUGAUCAAUUACCUCAAAUACUCUCAUUGUACUAACGUCGUCAAAUAAUCAAAACUGAUCAUCAUUAUUCAUUAAUUAAACGCUUCUGUAGAAACUAGAAAGCUUGACCGAUCUUACAAGUUCCAAGUUGGAAGAUCAUGUCGGCAGCAUUAGCAACUGUCAGGAAUCUUUAUACAAGUUGUGAUCCACCGGAGUUUCAUCGUUUACUUUUUCUUUUUCUUUUUUUGUCGACAAAGACUUGAGUGGGCCAACUAUUCAAAUAUGAGGGAAACUUGCGUGGAAGCUGAGGUGGUGGCUGGUGGGAUAACCUAUUGGUGUUCGGUUCCGUGAUGGAAUAAUGAAUGAAUCCCAUUAUGAAAUCUAUUGGCUUUCGACUUUGGGAUUCUCACUAGUUUUUUAUUUUUUAUUUUUAUAAAAUUGACUAUUGAGCAUCAGUGAACUGGAUCAGGCUACGGUGCACGUUAAAUACAUUUAGAUUAUGGAGUCCAUUGACAUCUAAUUGUAGAAUAUAAUUAUAACACAGUACCACAGUUGCACCACAUAUAUCCCUCAGUGAACUUAUCUAUCUCGUCACCUCACGUUUCGCAUAACUUUUUCACAUUCUUUCUACACUCUUUGCGUUCAUUUCACUGAAAAGAAUUAAAUCUGCUAACUUAAAUUUUUUAAAAUAUAAAGUCAGUGAAUCCCGCGGUAGAAAUCAAAUAAUUGGCUACCAUUUGUCCGACGCACAUCUCCCAACCAUGCAAGUCUUUCUCCAUCUCAAUCAACAUUCUCAAUCAUCUUGAUUAUUUUUAUUCUUCAGCUUUGCUGCUUUCCGCCAUCAACUCUUUGGACCUUUCACUGGAUCAAGCAACACCUUUGGUUAUUACAAUCUUCGGAUCUCAACAUUAAUAAGAAUCGUACGUGUAUCUGUUUUCUUUAUUUAUUUUUGCUCUGUUCCCUGUCCACUUGUCUCUGUUUUGUUCUGUAUCUACUCUUCUGUAUUUUUUUACUCUGUCAAUAAAUCCCUUCUCUUCUUCUUCAUCUCUAUAUCUUUUUAGUUGUUGUCUCUGUUCAGUUUCCUUUUGGUUCGCUUCACUUCACAUCUACAUACUUUACAAAAUUCUAAAAUUUGACCCAAAAAAAAAAAAAAAGAGAAAAGGGAAAGAAUUGAAGAUGGUGGAAAGCAUAGUAACUGUUGUGUUAGAAGUUGCAAAGUGCUUGGGUCCUCCCACUGAAAGACAAUUGAGUUAUGUGCACAACUACGGGAGCAACUUUGAGAAUCUCAAGACUGAACUUGAGAAGCUCAAGGAUGACGGUGCCAGUAUGCAGCACGGGGUUGAUGAGGCUAAAAGAAAAGGAGAAGAGAUCGAAAAGAACGUUGAGAAAUGGCUUGCAAGUGUCAACAACAUCAUUACUGAGGCUGAGAAAUUUACAGGCGAUGCAGAUAAAGCAAACAAGCGUUGUUUCAUGGGGCUGUGUCCAAAUUUGAAGACCCGCCAUCAGCUUAGCAAGGAAGCGGUGAGGCAAUUCGAAGCUAUUGUCAAACUUCGGGAAGCUGGGAGAUUUGAUAGAAUUUCCUACCGUAAAGCUCUGGAGGACAUAAGGCUUAUAUCUAACAAAGACUACGAGGCAUUUGAAUCAAGAAUCUCCACUUUGAAUAAUGCACUUCGUGCAUUACAAGAUCCUGAUGUGAACAUGGUUGGGAUUUAUGGAAUGGGCGGCAUCGGAAAGACGACACUAGCAAAAGAGGUUGCUAUUCAGUUCAAGAGAGACCAGCUAUUUGAUCAAGUGAUUUUUGUGGAGGUGCCCCAGAUUCCAGACAUAAGAAAGAUUCAAGGAGAAAUCGCUGAUAAAUUAGGUCUCAUAUUUUUCGAGGAGACCGAAUCUGGAAGGGCAAGGAGUCUUUAUAAUCGAUUGAAGGAUGAGAAAAAGAUCCUUGUAAUUUUAGAUAAUGUUUGGGAAAGUGUUGAUUUGCAGGAUGUAGGAAUUCCUCACGGAGAUAAUCACAAGGGGUGUAAAAUAUUGAUGACGGCAAGAAGUGAAGAUAUAUUGUCUGGCAAGAUGGAUUGCCGACAUAAUUUCUCAGUUGGCGUUCUAAGAGAAGACGAAGCUUGGAGUCUAUUCAAGAAGAUGGCAGGGGAGUAUAUCGAAAGUAGUGAAUUCAAAUGGGUGGCAACGGAUGUGGCAAAUGAAUGCGCAGGUUUGCCUGUUUCCAUUGUGACAGUAGCGAGGGCGUUGAGAAAUAAGAGAUUAUUUGAAUGGAAGGACGCUUUGGGGCAGUUAAGAAGGCCUUCAUCAACCAACUUUAAAGAUAUACAGCCGGCUGCUUAUUCAGCUAUAGAGUUGAGUUACAAUAAAUUAGAAGGAGAGGAGCUCAAGAAGAUCUUUUUGCUAAUAGGCUACACCUACAUAUCGUCCAUUAAUGACGUGUUAAUGUAUGGCAUGGGUUUGGGUUUGUUUCAAGGCAUCAAUAGGAUGGAAGAAGCACGAGGUCGAGUGUAUACAUUGGUGUACAAACUCAAGGCUUCUUGUAUGUUGCUUGAGCAUGGAAGCAAAAAUGAACAUUGGUUUUCUAUGCAUGAUGUUGUUCGUGAUGUUGCCAUAGCAAUUGCAACCAGAGAACAAAAUGUGCUUACGAUGAGAUAUGAACUGGUUAAUUCACGGGAAUGGCUAGAUGAAGGUGCGCUUAAGUUUUACACUUCGAUUGUCUUACACGACAGCAAGAUGAAUGUUCUUCCUGAAGUUUUGGAAUGUCCUCAACUGCAACUUCUCUCUUUGUGGACUGAGAAAUCUUCAUUAAUCACACUUCCAGACAAUUUUUUCAGGAAGUUGACGCAAGUCAGAGUUUUAGACUUGACUUAUAUGCAUCUAUCAUUACUGCCUUCAUCACUUGGUCUCCUAACAAACCUUCGAACAUUGUGUUUGUAUUGCAGCGAAUUGCAAGAUAUAGCUGUUAUAGGAGAAUUAAAGAACCUAGAAAUCCUUUGCUUAAGGGGUUCUUAUAUUGAGCAGUUGCCUGUGGAAAUAGGCCAAUUGACUCGGUUAAGGUCGCUUGAUUUGAGAGACUGUGACAGACUACAGGUUAUUCCCCCAAAUGUUUUAUCAAAUUUAUCCCAUUUGGAGGAAUUAUACAUUCGUAGCUUUAAUAAGUGGGAGGUGGAGGUGGAGGUGGAAGCUGCAGGGGUCAAGAAUGCAAGCCUUGAAGAGUUGAAGCGUUUGCCUAACUUGACCACCUUAGAAUUAUGCAUCCCAGAUGUCAACACUCUGCCGAAGGGGCUGUUCUUCGAGAAGCUGGAAAGGUACAGAAUAUGUAUUGGACGUUGGUGUUGGGAGGAUACCUCACCUACGUGUUCUAGAACAUUCAGACUCCUCCUUGGCACCGACAAUUGUAUCAGCUUCAAGAGUGGGCAUAUCGUGCAACUUCAGCGAAUUGAAGACCUUUGUUUAUCUAGAUUGCCAGACCAAGAUAUCAUUGAAUUAGUUAAUAACAAAUUGGGCUCUUAUUCUUCCCAACUGAAGCAUCUCUGGGUCGAAGGUUGUCAAGCCCCCAGUCCGAAAGAGUCAAAGGUAUGAUAUGAUCUUCCUAAAUUUCGAACAUAUCAAAGCAGCCAGUGCAAAAACAGAUUCUUCAUUUCUUAUGAGUAUGACUAUGUUCUAAACAGAGAUGCAAGGAAUCGACAAGUGAAAUGCGAUCGAAUGAAAUCAUUUUGGAGGACCUUGUCAACGUUCCUAAUACAUUUUUCCUCAAGGUCGGAUAUUAAUGAUCCAAUGGUCAUAUUCUUAUGAUUUUUUCCUUUUUUUUUUGCUGCUUUAUUAUAUAUUCUCCUUUCCUAGGAAAUAUAGGCUAGAGUGAAUCAGGGAUUAACGAACAUAUUUCAUAAUUAUAUUAAAAUUUUCAUCCUGAGUAACGUAGGUGUAACAAAUACAUUCUCGGAUGAAAGAAAAAGUACCCUGAAUGCACUUAUAUACUAACUUUGAUCUCCUCAUAUAACGGUUGGAAAGUUUUGUGAACAGGGUGGGUUACCAAACUUGGAGACCUUGGAGCUGUAUAAUGUAAAUGUGGAGAGGAUUUGGAAAAGCCAACUUCCGGCCAUGUCUUGUGGCAUUCAAACUUUAACCCGGUUGAUUGUAUAUGGCUGUGGGGAAUUAAGAUGUCUGUUUUCAUCUUCUAUAGUUAACAGCUUUAUUCGACUCCAACACCUUGAGAUAGAUGAGUGCCCUAUUUUGGAAGAGAUAAUAGUCAUAGACCAGCAAGAAAGGAAGAAUGUUGUGUUCCCUCAGUUACAAUUUCUAAAGAUGGUAGAUCUCGAAAAGCUCACAAGCUUCUGCACAGGAGAUGUGCACAUUGAAUUUCCAACAUUGGAAACUUUAGAAGUAAUAAGGUGUCCUGAAUUCCUUUUAACUGCUCAUGACUUGACAAAAGAGGUACGUACAAGAUUUAAAAUUUACUCUUAAUAAUUGGCAUUACGUUUUCUUUUUGGUCCUGAUUUAUCAUGCAUCCAACCAGGUAUUCCCCAAUUUGAAAUAUUUGACCAUUGAAGGAAAGAAGAUACCAAUGGCAGCUGAGUUUCCAGAGGACAUGUUUUGCAAACUCAACUUUCUUGAUGUUAUAUUUGAAGAGUCAACUACUAUUUCAUCACUUGAUUUCCUUCGGAGAUUUCACAGCAUAAGAGAACUCACAAUAAGGGGAGGAGGAUAUGUUGGGGGCGUUAAGCCAUCAUAUGGAGUAGAAAAUUGGACGAAGGCAAUCAUAAGGAAUCUACACAAUUGUUGUGAUCUGAAGCAUAUUUUGAUCCAGGAAUCCAAAAUGGACAAUUUGGUUCAUCUAACAGUUGAGUAUUGUGACCAUUUGAUUAAUCUAGUGCCACCUUCAACAUCGUUUCAGAAUCUGACAACUUUGAAGGUGUGGAGAUGCAAAGGAUUGAUAAAUGUGCUAACAUCCUCGACAGAAAAGAGUUUGGUACGACUGACAGAGAUGAGUAUCGUUGACUGCAGCAUGAUAACAGAAGUAGUGGCAGAUGAUGAAGGAAAUGCUGCAAAAGAUGAAAUUGUUUUCAGCGAGUUGAUGGACUUGGAGCUUUGUGAUUUAAGAAGACUUACAAGCUUCUGCUCUGGCAACUGCGCCUUCAAGUUCCCAGCUUUGACAUAUUUAAGUGUGGAUAAAUGCCCCAAUAUGAAGAUUUUCUCUGGAAAAGAAUUAAGCACUCCCAGUUUACACGAAGUAGAGAAACGCUGGCUGUCUGAUGAGUAUUGGACUUGGAAGGGCGACCUUAAUUCUACCAUACAACAGAUAUAUCUUGAAACAAAGGUACGUAUUCAUUACUGAGAGACCCAAAAGUUACUGUUGAAUUAGAUUAAGCACUCCCAUUUUAUUUGAAAACUGUUGUUCCUGCUUUCACCUUCAAUUUGUUUUGUUCGUUGUUUACAGGAAGUCCAAAAUCAUAAAGAUGAUUCAGGCCAACCUUCUGUGCAGCAUCAGGAAUGAGGCCAAUUUUCAUUGAAAUUUGUGAGACAUGGUAUGCAGCUCGUGUAUUUUCUAUCAAAGUUAAGACGGUAAGAGGGCCUUCAUUUUUUAUUGUUAUUGUUCUACAUUUUGGCUUCUCUUGAUUACUCAAACCCAGUUUCAAAGAAAUUUCUUUCACUCACAUCAUUCCAGGUUGAAUGGUGGAAGGGUCCUUCAUCUAUGCUGUUUCAGACAUCUUGAAAGACUAUAUAAGAAUCUAAAUUAAAGAUGUGUGAAUCAGACUUGUCUUGUGUGCACGUGAGCCAUGUGUUAGAUUGCUGGUGUAGUAGUAAAAGUAGACAUUCAGCACAUGUUCAUUGUAGUAAAUAUUCAACAAAGAUGAUAAUACAGCAAUAGAAAUUGGAGUUUUAGCCCAUCAGACACAAACAAUUGUGAAACAAGUGGGUAGAGGGAAUAAUAAAAAUCGAAAGACAUGGAUGGGAAGAAUAUGAGAUCAUUGAUAGAACCUAAAUACAAAUUCAAUCAAUUCAUUAAGCCAUCAAAAGUUAGUUAUAAACCAAUAUAUCUUAACAUAUGUAAUUUACCAUCAUCUAAAACCACUAUAUCCUAACAUAUGUAAUGUACCAUUAUCAAUUUUCGCUAUGUUAUGUCUGUAUAGCCUAAUAUGUUUGGCUUGGUUUUGUCUAAUAUGUUUAGCUUGGUUUUGUAUCCUUUCCAAACAUAUGAAUAUUUACUCAAGCGCAUGUUUGGGCCAUCUGAACAUUGAGUGGUUUGAUAUCUCUGCAGCGCAUGUAGGUCAGAAACUGACCAGGCAGCUCCUCCAAAAGUGCUUGUACAACAGAAAUUUGCCCACCUGUUCAGAAAACAAUGUGUUCAUUUGUUAAGGCAUGAAAAAAUUCAGAAACUUUUGUGAAUUAACUCCCAAAUUCAAUAUUUUGAACUAAUUUUGUCAAAGAAUCAUAUGCACUCACUAUGAACUUCUCGCAUUGGAACAAAUUGUACUAUAUCUCUGGUAGCUACCCGAUCAGUAGAGCUCUCUAAUCUACGGCCAUUAUCAGCAUCAAGAAUCUGCCAACAAAGUUAUCAGCAUAAAAAAUCUGCAACAAAAGUGGGAUAAUACCACACUGCAUAUGUACUCUAAAUUGAAUCUAUCAAACUAUAGAAAAAAGAAGUCCAUUGCUAGUAAGAAGAUAUUCCAGUUAGAAAACAUUGUGUACCUCCAUUUGUGUAAAAUCUGCACCUCCCACACCCACAAUUAGAAUUGACAGGGGAAGAUCAGAAGCCCUUACCAAAGCAUCUUUUGUUUCUUGGAGAUCUGUCAGAACUCCAUCCUAAAUAGACAAUGCAAAUUUACAAAUCACCCAAAAAGAAUGAUAGAAAGAGAAAACUGUGAAUAUAUAGAAUCAUUGUAAUCACCGUUAUAAUGAGUAAGACGAAAUACUUGCUUCUGUCGUAUGAGAGGGACUGUCCAGCAAUUCGUGCAGCGGUGUUGAUCACUUGACCAAACAGAGUCGGUCCUGCCAAAGCAACAUUGUUUAGAGCGCUUGCAUAAGCAGCCAUAAUGCCUUCAACUCCAUCUACCUAUUAAAUAAAGAAACCAGCAGUUAAUGAAAAAAUGGAAGAGGAUAAAAUCCACAUCUUUUAGGAUAAAAUUCCAAGGAAAUUUUAAAAAAAAUGUAGAAACAUAUUAUAUUGUUUGUUAUUAAAAAUGAAAAGUUAUGGGAGACAAGCCAACCAAAUAAGGAUUAUAGCAAAGUUGCGAACUCCAGCUACCCCUACCUCAAAGCCACCUGCUCUUCCAUUCAAGUUUAAACAAUGUGAUACAGUGCCAUCAAAUGUCUUCCCUCCAAAUCCCCAUGCAGGAAAGCGUCUAUCAGAAUCAUAAAAUUGUAUGACCUCCCCAAUUUCCGUUAUUGCCUGUAAAUGGUUUAAGAGGCCAAUAACUAAUCAGUGAUAUUCUCUCUCAACUUCUACAAACUAUUGAAAUAUGUAUCUCACUAUGACGGGCACAGAAAAAGUUGAAAGUCACAGGCAUUUUCUAAGUCGAAAACACUGGACAAAAUGACCAUUUUAUGACCUUCAGAGUUCAGAGAUCACUUGUCAAAGUGCGAGUCAUAACAAAACCUUACCUGCUGGUAAGAAUUCAAUCUGCCUGAAGGAUCAAUAUAGUGCAAAGAAUUUGGAUUUCGAGGAUUUCCAUUUGAAGCUGGAUGAUUUUGCAUUUAAUGAGAGACAAGAUGAAAUUGGACCAAAUAAGAGGAAAUAAACAAAACAAAAAGAUUAUAUUGCAAAUUUAUCUUCAACAAGUAAUCUCUUUCUAAUUACCUGUAAAGUCGACUGCAACCAUAAAAUUCAACUCAAACCCACUAGAUAUGUAAUCCAGGAAACUAUAUUGCUCUUGCUCAACGAACUUUUCAACAAACAACUGACUUUUCAGAACCUAGGAAAAAGUCAGAUAAAAAAUAAAGUGAUAUUAAAUUAUCAAAAACUGUAAGCAUGAACAAACACCUUUGGUGGAGUUAAAACAAAAAAGAAUAAACACCUUGUCAUGGCCACGUUGAGUUGAUGGUAACAUAAAAGUUGCACCAGUUCUUUCUUGAUGAAGUUUCUCCAGGUCUCCAACUGAUUUCUGAAUUUUACUAAUAACAGAAAUAGAAAACCUUGACAUCAGAAAGGCAAAAGGAUAAAAGAGGGAAGCUGAUGACAUUAAGAAAUUUAACAGUUACCCCAUCAGUACGUGAUUUCCACUGGUAUUGAAAUCAAAACAUUCAAUGAUUAAUGGGUUUUCCUGUACCAAAGAAAAUCAUAUACUAAAAAACAUUUCCCCAUGACCAAACUUCACUACCUAAUAUACAUUUAAGUAACAAGCACAAGAAGAUGAUAAGGUUACCUUGCUCACAAAUUGCUGCAUGCUCAAAGUUAUUGGUCUCCAAAUGGGAUUCAAGUUAUUGUUUAUCACCUCCGUCUUGUAGAUAGGAACAGAAUUUCCACUCUCAACAAUUCUAGAUAUUCUUAAGAAUGGAUCCUAUGCAAUAUAAGAAGAAGAAAAAAUAGCAUCUAAAUUAAUAGAUUAAUUAGUGAACCUCCAAACUUAGCUACUUUUUCAGAACUUACACUUUUGGAAAACAGGUCUACAUUUUGCAAAUGCGAGCAACGGAAUGCUAUUUCAACAGCACUCUUGGAAGCAACCGUUUCCUCAGCAUGGACAGAGAGUGUCCCAAAGUUUCUUGAAACUCGAAGCCCAUAAUUGUUAUGGAGUUUUAAGGUUAAAGUUCGAUUGUGUUUGGUCACUAUCUGCCAUUUAAAAGGAAAAUAUGACACUUGUUAGUGCAAAACAAGAAUGCUAAAGAAGAAGACGAAUGCUAGUAAAAAGCAUCUGAGAAUAUUUUGCCCUUUUUUUAUAGGAAACAGAUUUUUACAGAAAAUUAGAUGGGCAUAUUUUGCCCAUUGAAUAAAGAGAAAAUACAUAAAUUCAUCAAACAAAAUAUAACCCAGAAGCUUACCUCAGAGAGAACACAGCCAGCUUCUCCCAGGAAGUCUUGAUCCUCCAACUUUAGCAUCUGCAGGGCAAUGUAAAUAAGAAGUUUGAACUUUAAACUUCACGCUUCAACAACUAUUUUGUCAUGAGAUAAUAAUGUCUUGAAAGUAAUUAGGGAUCACUGCAGCAAAGAAUCAAAAGAACACUAGAUUCCCUACUUAAUGUCUUAGAAUCCAUCUGGAUUUGUUCAUUUUCUCUUUCCACUAGCAUAAAUUUAAAUAUUUCUCAUUUUUCCCAUUAAUGUUAAUACCAUUUACAAUUGACAUAAAUAAUAAUCACAUUUUUAGAUUAUCUAACUGUUUUCAGCAAAUGCUUCCAAAUGAUUACAGUUUCUAGGAUUAUAACCAUAAAUUUUUUUUCAUUUUGAAUCAAAUUCCACAGACGAAUACAUCAUAGGCUCUAAAGAUUUACUUAUCCAUUCCAAUACUUACAAUAUGGUCAUUUUUUACAGAAACUUCUUUAGGUCAUGGCAGCAACUAUUUAACUGUAUUGUUUUUAACAACAUAGAUCAAAAUUCCAUUUUGGAAAAAAGAAAAUUUAGCCGUAAGGACCAUCAGAAAAAUUGUUCUUUCCCAGUUAUGGUAGCAGGACAAAUAUGUCAAACCUUGCAAGAUGCAAUAACAGAAAGUUCCAUAAUAACUAUCCUGGCCUUAAGAUUUGUUUAUGAUAUACGACAGCCAACUUUUUAAGUUUCUUGCCAUGCUAAGUGUUAGUUUAUAAUCAAUCAAGUGUUCACAAAUUUCCCGAAAUUGAUAGAAACUAUUGCUGAUGCAAUUUAGUUGAGACGUAUGCUUAGACAACAAAUGGAUCAGUCAAAUGCCUUGGCUAACUCUAAACUUUGGAACUGAAGUAUGUGCAUAAUUAAGAAAUUUUUAUAUACCUUCACUGGAAUAUUGUGGUACUUGGUAUCCACAUCAUACACACGAAAACUGGAAAAAGAAGAAAAGCAUUAAGUAAUUCGAAAACAUUAAAUAUUAUCAAAUCAAGCAAGGCUUAUGAGAAAUGAUAAGCAAAUGACCUAUCAAGGGGAAAAAAAAAACAAACUUUAAAAAGAACAUAGUAAAAUCUUACAGCAAGGGCUGGACGAUCUCAAACUGAAAAGCAAUUGAAAUCUUUCCAAUCCAAGCAGGAUUCAGAUUGUUCAUAAUCACCUCUGUACGUCCAAUCUCCACCAGCCUCCCAUCUCUUUUCUUUGCAUACACAACUGCAAUGGGAUCACUCUAUGACACAAAAAGUCAUGUAAAUACAUUUGCUUGUGAGUAUAAAAAUAAAAAGACAGAAGGCCUAUGGGUAUGUAUCCACUUAUGUCAUAUAAAAUAUAAACAUAUAUUAGUUAAAUAACUUUAGUUAGUAAUCCACAUUAAAAUACAGCAGCAUUUGAUGUAUGCUAGUAUCAGCUAGUAAAAAGAUAUACCGCUGAUAAAUGUUCAUUAUCAAAGAAUUUUAUCUUGCACAUAUAACAUAUUUGACUAGUGCACAAAAUUGCAAAAACAAUAAAACCACCAACCAUGACUUGUUAUACAUUAUCUGGAACUCUCAAGUUACUGCUCCUUACUGGAUUACAUUGGAUAUAGACAGUGUAUAUAACAAACUAUUCUUCUUUGUCUAAGUUUAGAAUUUUGGUGCCAGCACUAAGCGUUAUUCAGAUCAUAUAUCCCUAGACCCUUCAUGAACAGAGAAAGGAUAUUGACAGGGCCAUUAUGAACAAAUAAGCAGAUCAUAUAAGGAGGAUACAAGAUAAUAUGAGAAUCAAUCACCAAGACUACCAACAGCAUGAACAUGGCAUUACUAGACAUAAGACAACAAUAAUAUGAAGGCGUACCUUUGAUGCGAUGUCAAGAUCACGCAACUUUGAAGCAGAUAAAGAUAACUGCAAUAUAUAUUCAAAAACAUACGAACGAAUACAGAUACAUGAAAAAGCGGAAAAGGAGUAAUCCAUGCAUAUGCUGCACGAAAUGAAAAUUGUCAGUACGAUGUGGGUCAACUGACAGGCAAUAUAUAUCUGUCAUAAACAGAACAUGUAGAAAACCAUCAUUUCCGAUUCUGACAGAAUCACUUCUAAUAUUAAAUCUUAUAAGCAGCAAGCAAUAAUAUAUGUAAUUAAGUUUUAUAUAACAACAGGAUGUGACACGUCAAUUACAAGCAUUGAACCACAUUUAAUUUGUUAUCAUAUGACUUGUUGCCUUUUCUCCAGGAAAGUUUGCAAGGAGAUCCUCAGGUAAGGUCCACAUCAAUACAGGAAUAUUACAAUCACUUGGUGGUCCACGUUAUGGAAAGACAUUCUUAUCCUCGUAACAACAUAAUCCUUAAUCCACAAUCUUUUAUAAAGUUAAUGGUUUGUCUUAUGCAAACCAGCAUUCACAAAAUCAUGUUCCAAUCAGGGGAGCAUUAUCAUGGGGAAUCUUCACGAGGGGUAUAAGUCAAAUUUGAUCACGAGGGGUAUGAGUUAAAUUUGAUAAAUGAGGCAUAACAGAAUAGUCAACUUUGAGGAUACACAGGAAAACCACUGUGCAUUCAACAGGAUCAAACAUCAACUUUCUCAAUGUUCACAAGGCCAUUGUGCAUUCAACGCCAUUCUUUUUUUAUUUACCUUAACCAAUCUUAAUCUAAAAUUCACUCCACAGAAUGUUGUUAUUGGGUAUAAGCAGUUAAACUUACUGUUCUCCAUAUGCAAAACAAAAGCACUUGCUUGGUGUGAAACCGUCGAACCAACACCAGCAAAAGAAUUGGUAGAUUUGUAAUGAAAUAUGAAGAAACAGCAAGGUAUUAAUUGAAGAAUUCAAUUUCUCAUUAUAUUUGGACAUUUGGACGUCAUUAAUGUUAAUUGAUUUUUUCCGCGUAAAAAACUUCCCGAUUGAUUUUGUUCCUCCAAAUGCCAUUCAUUGGAAAUAAGUUUAUUUUUCUGACAACUUCAACUCAUAAAUUUAAUUAUUUUGUUAUAAUAAUAGGUUGAAUAAUUCUAUGUAUUACGACAAAAAAAAAGAAUCUUAAUUUUAUAUCAUAUAUAAUUAUAUAUAUAUAGACUCAAGCAAGAGUAUUAUUUAUCAUGUAAUUUAUUAAACUAAUCUCACCUAAAAAGUUGUUGAGAAAAGACAGUAAGUUAAUAAAUAUUUCGUCUUCCCCAAGGUUUUUGAUUAAAAGAAUGACUUGAUAUGGCUGAUGUUGAUAAAUUAAAAAGGGAAAAAUAAUAAACAAUGGAGGAAUUUUCAAAUUAGGUCAACAAUCGUAGUCUAUUUAAUUUCGUAAUAAUGGCAAUGACGAAGCCCUUAUAACAUAAGCUUGCAAACGUAAUCAAGAUAUCCGUGGAAAACAAGCAACAAUUGCAAUGGGGUGGAAUAAAAUGUCUAAUAUUUAAAUUUUUUAUUUCAAUUUCUAUUUAUAUAAUUUAUUUAAUUUAUAAUAAAGAUGAAUAAUUAAAUAAAUUUUAAAAUAUCUUAAAAUAAGAAUAAUACUAUAAAAUUAUGAUAAAUGAAAGUUAUUGAUUAUUAUGAAAACAAUAAGAAGAGAAAUGUCAUGUAUUAAUUUCUACAUGAAGGAAACUGCCAACCUCCCUUUAAUAUGUUGUGACAAUCAUUAGAAUUUCAAUAAAAUGAUUUUGUUGACGAAGCCCUUAUAACAUAAGCAUACAAACGUAAUCAAGAUGUCUGUGGAAAGCAAGUAACAUUUAACAAUUCCAGUGGGGUGGAAUAAAAUGGCAUUCACAGUCAACUACUAAGGUACUGAAGGUUCAAUCGUUUAAGGGUAUUGAUAGUUUCAAUAAAAUGACAAACUCCUCUACAUAAUCAAUAGUCAUUGAUCACGUACGUGUACAUUUAAGUUGGAAAAAGAAGAAGAAGAAGAAGAUUAUAGUAUAAUAAAAUCAGAAUGCGUAUGUCAUAACUAAUUUCACUAAAUGGUUAUAAUACGUUUUAUGUACUUGAGAUUUUCUCAUAAUUCCUUUAUCCAUAACACUGGUAAUAAAGUCCGAUUAUAUAUAGGCAUGCACACUUUUUUCAUGGGGGAUUGAUAAUAAAAUUUUAUAGUGGGUAAUUGGUUGCAACCGUGUUGGUAGAUACACCUACCUAAUAUUAAUUAAUGAUUGAAAAGAAGAACAUUUAGUUCAUAGUUAAACCAAGAUUGUUACAGAAAAGGGAAAAGACUAAGACAGUGCUCAUGAAGUGGAUAGAAAUAACAGAGAAAGAAAUAGCUAUAUACAAUAAAAUAUUUCUCCUAUAUAGUCAUAUAUCCUUUAUAUAGAAAGAAAAUAUUUCUCCUAUGUAGUCAUACUUUAUAUAAAAAUAAUUUUUAUUUAAUUAUAAAAAAGAUUUAAUCUCAAUUUAAGUUAGUUAUAAAUAAGGAUAUACUCUAUAUUAUAAUAAGUUAUAAUUUUUUUAAGUCUUGUCUAAAAAAAAAUUGUCUCUACAUAGUCAUAUUAUUUGUAUAUUGCAAAAAAGUAUAGACUUUUUUUUUAAUUAAGCCUAUCUUUAUUAUCAAUUUCUGACAUAAUUCAGUAAUUAAUUAUUAAUAUAGUGGAUAUUUGACCUCUAAUUUAAUUGCACGAAGGAUAAGUAAGUGAAAACGAUAAUUUCUGUAACUAUAUCUUUACUAAGUUAAUUAUAACAUUCUCAUAUUAAUAAAAUUAAUUUGCCCCAAUAUUAUGAUUAUAGAGAAAUUGGACUAUAUUUGCAAAUUUUGAAAAUGAUGGUCAUGACUUAUGUGCUCGAUCUGUGAUUUUACGUUGAGGUUGGUAGAGCUGAACCAUCAAAACGUUUAAAGCAUAUUGUCGUUAGUCUUUGUUUCCGAGUAGACAAAAGUGUCAAAUACUAUGUUUAUCAAUAAGAACAUUAUUGAAUCUUUUUUUUCUUUUUUAAAUGACAAAUGAGAGAUGAAUUCAAAUUAAUUAGGAAUUUUUAUCCAUUAUUUAUUAGAGUUGUGCUAGUAUUUUUUUUUUUAAAAAAAACUACUAAUUACAACAACCUUAAGUAAAACAAACAUAUAUUAUAUAGCUCAUCAUGUGAGCACGGAAUCCGACAUUCCUUUGAGACUUAUAUAUCUCUCAAAUUAAAAUACCGCAAACAAGAAUAUUAAACAAAGUAAUAAUCAAAAUAACACAUUUCCUUGCAACGACUCAUUAUGAUUCCAAGUGAAAUGGUUCGUUCGACCAAAAAAUGCUGGAAAAAAUGUAAUUCAAGUUGGCUUCCUCUUUCAUAUUCAGUUCAGAACUUUAGAUUUGGUGUAAAUGAAGGGAAAAUGCCUACGAAUAUGUUCUCAGCUUGCCCGUCGUCUUGCCCAGCUUCUAGUUGUUUUCGUAAUUACGUCGUCACAACGACUGAUGCGGAGUAUGUAGAAAAUAAAGUCAUUCAAAGCCGUACAAAAGUGGAUAACCAAUCCAAUCCACUUUUGGCUCGUCAUUGAGUAAUUUGAGUCAAUUAUCCAGUUUGGUCAAUAUUAUAUUUUAAAAGAUUAUCCAGAACAUUUCUUUACUUACUUUCUUAGUUGUUGGACAUAAAUUUUUAAAGCUAAAACAGAAUUUUUAUAUGAUAAAACUAAUUUAAUAUAUAGCAGAUGGAAAAUAGAAAAUAAUUAGGUAGAUUUUAACCAAAAAAGAAUAUAGAAUUUAUAUUUUUUUUAGAGUGAAUUUCUAAAAAUAUAUUGACUCCUCCAUGGGUACAUAAACUACAGGGACAAAGAGACAUUCCCUUUUUUGUUUUAUGCAAGUCGUCGCAAGGAUUAUUCGUUGUGCGUGUACGCACAAUGACAUGAUCACGUGUCAUCCAUUGAGACUUUUCCAAGACAACAUUUUGUGAUGUACCAUAUGCAUACUAAAUUACAAGUGCAUUUGUUGGGUACAUGCAUGCAUGGACGUGGAAUUCCAUGCAUAAAAUGAUAAAAUACUUUUUCAAUUUUUCUUAGUUUAAUUUGCAAAGAUGUUUCACCAUUAAUUUGAAGUCUUUAGGUUUGGAAAUCUUUAUUCAUCGUAUAUUUGUUUGUCUCUUGGCACAAGCGCAUGCACACACGCACGCACGCACAUGUAUGUGUGUGUAUAUAUAUAUCUUAAUAUGUAUACUUAAGAUAUAUCUAUCAUUGUAAGUUAAACUAAUAAUCACUAAAUAUCCACUUUGUAUUUUGCUCUAGAGCACAAUAAAGUCAAAUUAGUAUUUAUAAUCGAUUUUUUUUUUUCUAACAAGUAAAUUGAUAUUGCAUUCCAUUAAACUGCUCACAACAACAAUACAAGUCAUGGUGGCAGUGACGAGAGUAAUUUACAAACUGUCUAUAAAGAACAUAAUUUGUUAAACCAUUAAAUAUUCAAGAGAUACCUUUAAUAACAAGUACUUUCAUGAGCACAUAAAACUUAAAUUUUACAAGAGUUAUUCUCAAAUUUAAGUCCUCUUUUGAUUUGAUCUCUUCUGAACGUUUAAAGAUCUUAUAUAACUUGCCUUUUAAUAUUAUGUAUGAUUAAAAUUUAACUAUUUUUAUUACUUACUUGAUUAACCAAUAAACAUAUAAGUGAAAUUUGCUUAAAAAUCAGGUCAUUAAAGGAUCCAUCCCAUUAAUGCUUCCCAGUCACUCUCUAUCAUCGAAGUUAUUUGUGCUAACCACCAAUGCACUAGCAAAUAUUGAUUCAUGUUUAAGCUCAUGUGUCACAUACUCAUGAAUACUUAGUGAUCAUUUAUAAAUGUUUAAUUAAUUAAUUGAGUAAAAGAUCAACAUUAAAAAAAAAAUCCCGUUACGCUACUCUGUAUAUACAACGCGUGAUAAAUUAAUUAAUACGGAGUUACCGGUAGCAAUUUAUAAAAAUUAAUUAAUAGGAGUUAGUGAGUUACACGGCUGCUAUUAAUACUUUCAUUAAAGUGUGAAUGAUUUAUUAACAAGAAUUUCAAUAUAGAAAUUUCACCAAAACUGUUUAAGCUUGAUUUUUUAAUUCUGCAUAGCAAUGAGUCCAUGACGGCUCCAGCACUAAUCUCAUCAUGAAACAAAGGUAAAAUUAACGAAGUUUCUUUUUUUCUUAGAAAAUCAUUGACAUCAAUAAGGUAAAACUAGUACAAGAUAAACCGAGACUAAUUUUAUUUUAUUUUUAAACAUUCUAUUAAAUUUUUCUGUCUAAAUAUCAUUGUUCUCUAUUUCAGAGUCAAGUCAAAAUUGUACAAAAUGAAAAAGAGAGGGUUAAAAUGGAUGGAAAUGACAAUAAAGAAAAUAGCUAGCUUUUUGCAAGAGCUUUUGAAGACGAUAGGCUUGUGCUCUUAUCAUGAAGCUUUUACGUCUUAUGCUUGUAGAAUUGACCCAGCGAAAAGGUUUAAUGAAUCCCCGUGAGAGUCUUUAAUGUGUUUCCGGGAAGAUAAUCAAUUAAUUAACUGCACCAAUUAAGCAGUUGAAUGAUCUACUAAGCAAGUUCAUAAAAUCUUAAUGUAAUCUAAUUGUUCGGAGAAAGUAUUUAAGAUCGAAUGUAGGGGUGGGCAUGGGUUGGUUUGGGUUGGAUUUUAAGUCAACCCAAACCAAACCAUAAAAAUUUGGAUCCAACCCAAACCAACCCAAAUAUUUUUAACCCAACCCAAACCAAACCAUUUGGAUUUGGUUUGGUUUGGGUUUGGUUUGAAUUUUAUUAUCAAAAUAAUUUUUAUUUUAAUAAAAUUUAAUUAUACCAAAAUUAUUAUAAUUAUUAAUUGUUAUUAAUUAUUAAAUUAAUAUUAAAAUAUAAAAAAAUAUAGUGGAUAAAAAUUAUAAAUUUUACAAUAACUUCAUCCUUAAAUUAAAGAAUACUAGAAAAUCAAAAUAAAGUUUAAUCACAAAAAUUAUUAUUUCUCAAUAAAUAAGAACGUACACUUUAAUAAUAAACUUUCACAAACAUGACAUUAACAAAUCUAAUAAUAAAUUUUACCACUUGUUAUUUAUUAUGCAAUAUUUAUUUUUAUUUAUCAUUUUGGUAGUUUUGCGUUAUGUUGUCUACUUAUAUGCUUAAUUUUAGGGAGAUUGCCACUUUCCCCCCUACAGUAAUCAAUAUAUAUCAUUUUUUCCCCUUCUGUUUUUAUAAUGGUCAAAAACCCCCCUAAUAGUAUAAGUUUACAAUAUUACCCUUAUUUUCAACUACUCUUUUAUUUAUAUUUAUUAUAAAUUAAAUAAAUCACAUGAAUAGAAACUAAAUAAAAAAUAAAGCAUUAAAAAUAAGAAAUAUAUGUUUUGAUAUGAACAAAAAAAUUAAUAAUAAAAUUUUUUUAUACUUAUUUAUUUUGUGAAAAUUUUCUUAUAAGAAAAUUAUUAGUAAAAUGAUAAAAAAAUUAUUAUAAGAAAACUUGAAUGACAAAUAAAAAUUUAUUAUAAGAUAAAUAAUAAAAUAUUUUACUAUACUUUUUACAUUUAAUUUUAAAAUAUUACAAAAUGUUUAUUAUAAGAAAAUGUUCACAAAAUAAAUAAUUACAAGAAACAAUUUUAUUAUUAAUUUUUUUGCUCAUAUCAAAACAUAUAUUUCUUGUUUUAAUACUUAAUUUUUUAUUUAGUUUCUAUUCAUGUAAUUUUUGUAAAUAAGAUAAAAAAUUUAUGUUAUUUACAACAAUAUUUAUUUAAUUUAAAUUUAUUUUUACUGUUAUUUUCAUUUUCUAACUGUUGACAAUUGAUCACGCCGCAAAAAAUUUAACGGUGGCCUUUCACUUAUUUGUAUUUAUUUAUUUUGUUUUCAUUUAUUUCUUUGAAAAAUUUGAGUGUUGGGGUUUUGUCCAUAACCCAUGGGUAAACCAUACCCAACCCAUAAUGAAAUGGUUUUCUAUAUAAAACCCACAUCUAACCCAUUUUCAUGAUUUACCCAACCCAAACCAUUUAAUUUGGUUUGGGUUUGGGUAAACCCAUGGGUUGUGGGUUUAUGCCCACCCCUAAUCGAAUGAAAGAUGAAUUUCAGGGACUCUUCCAAUUGCAACUAGUCAUCAUGGAUAUUCCAAUCAGUGAAGGAUUCUUUCGACACAAGGAAAAAUAAAAGAUAAAAAAGGGUCAAUAAAGACGAUGGAGAAUAUUCAAAUAAAGUCUUUAACGUAUGUAAAUGUAAUGUAACUUUAAUUUGACAACUGCGGGCCUGACGAAUCCCUUGCAACGUGAGCACAAUGACACAGAAAGGAUAGUGCAAAUCAAAGUGGCCGUCUUUAUGAAUUACGAGAGAGAGCGUAACACAAGUUAUCCAAAUUCAGUCAGUCAAGAUAGGUCAAAUUAGCUUGCCAUUGUCGUUUUCGGGGAAAAAAUGUUAGAAUAAAAUGUUAAAAGAAAAUUUAGAAUGUCUACUAACUACUAAUAUGAGAAAGAGUAAUAAAGACUUUAGAAUUAAAAAAAGAAAAUAGUAGCAGACAAUUAAUAGUUGUAAAUGGCUAAAGUUGUUUCAUAUAACAUUUUAGACAGGCCCGACUUUAACCAAUUGGGGGCCUUAGGCGAAAUUUUAUUUUAGGCCUUUUGAUGUUAAAAUAUCAAAUCUCACAAAAACAUUAAACAGCUCAAAAAAUUCUCACAACAAUAUCAAAUAGCUCAAACUUUAACUAUAUUCAAUAAUAUCUUGAAUUACAACAAUUAUUAACAAGGUCCAAAAAAAAAAAAAUUGUCCGAAAGAUAUCUAUUUAUUUCCACACAAAUAGUAACUAACUUUGUCUUCCACAAAUUCCAUCUUCUUAAGAUGCUCUAAAACUUCAUAAGCCACAACCAUAAUCUUCCUGUGAACUUUAAAUCAUUGCUCCUACCUACUAUGAUCCUUGCUGCAAGCCAUCACUAAUGCAAAUUACUAAUCAAUUAAAUUUUAUUCUUCUUGCUUUUUGAGAUGCAAAAUUAUUAAUUAAAAUCUUAUAUUCUAAUUUAGCUAACAAAUUUUUUUUCAAUAGCUAAUAUUGCUAAUCCAUUUAAUCUUUCUUGUGACAUUGUAGUUCUUAAAUAAGAUUUUAUUAACUUCAAUUUAGAAAAACUUAUCUCAGCAGAAGCAACAAUUAUAGGUACAGUCAAUAAUAUUCUAUAAGCAACAAAUGCAUUUGGAAAAGAAUCUACUUUUUUAAUAUAAUUAAGUAUAUCAAGUGGACUAUUUCUUUCCAUGUGUAAAACUUCUUUUAAGACUUUUAACUCUGAAAACAAAUCUAAUCCAUCAAUAUCAGAAAACAUAUCAUAUUUCAAGAUAUUUUCAAGAUUAAUACAAUAACUUUUUAAACUUUCAUCAUCUAAUGAUUUUAAUUUUUCAAAAUUAAAUAAAAAUCCGUAAAUAUUUUCAUAGAAUUGAAACUGCUCAAAUCUAUUGGUGAUUGAAGAAAUAACUUGAUCUACUAUAUAUACAAAGUAAUCAAUUCUAAAAGAAUCUUCGGGAGAUAGAAUUUUCUCUUCAUUAUUAUUCUCGCCAAAUUUAUUUUUUCUACGAAUUAUACGUUUUUCAUGAAAUUUUGGUUCUAUUUCCAUUUCAUUUGCAAUCUCUUUAGCUGAAAUCAUAGCAGACACAAAACCAUUUUAUCUGUAAUUCUCAAAAAAGGAUGUAAGACCUUUAGUUGAUUUAUGGCAACAUCAAUUUGCAUAUAUUCCCUUUGUAAGCUUUUACUAACAGUGUUUACAACAAAUAAAAGCAAAUAAUAUAUCAUACCAAAUAAUCAUGCCUAACAAAAAUUCAAAGUUUUCCAAUUCAUAUGUUGCUAAACAUUUCGCUUCACUUUUUUAUUUUAGGAUCUUCACUAACUUCUGCUAAUUUGAGUAAAGCAUCUCUAAUUUGGGGAGUUUGAAAUCUUAUUGCUUUGACACUUUCUAUGCGACUCUCCCAACGUGUUUGUGACAAUGAUUUAACAGUUAAAUUAGGUAUAUUAUCUUGUAAAAUUUUCCAUCUCUUAGGUGAAGAAGAAAAUAGCGAGUAAAUACGUUGAACAACUCCAAAAAAUGAAAUAGCCUUAGGACAAGAAUUAGCCAUAUCACAAAGCACUAAGUUAAAACUAUGAUAGCCACAUGGUGUGUAAAAUACUCUAGGAUUUAUUUCUAAUAAUCUUUUUUGUACACCUUGAUUUUUUCCUUUCAUAUUAGAUCCAUUAGCAUAUCCUUGUCCUCUUACAUCAUUAAUAUCAAGUUCAAGAGUUUUAAUUACAUCCACAAGUUCAUUAAAAAGACCUUUUCCAGUGGUAUUGUCAACUUGUAAAAAUCCUAAAAAAUAUUCUUCUACCUUUACUAGAUUUGUUGAAAUAUCCACACAUCUUAAUAUAAGAGACAUUUGUUCUUGGUGGCUUGCAUCUGGAGUACAAUCAAGUAUAACUGAAAAGUACUUUGCUUCCUUAACUUUGUUAACAAUUGAUUUUUUUUAUUUCAAGUGCUAGCAUUAAUAUGAGUUCAUUUUGUAUGUUAUGUCCAAGAUAAUGAUCAUGAAUUUCACCGGUUUUAAUACGUCGAAUAUGUUCUUGCAUUGUUGGAUCAAACUCUGCAAUCAUUUCAAUUAAACUUAACAAAUUCCCAUUUCUCUCUUCAUAGAUCUUCUCAUUUUUUCCACGAAAUGCUAAAUUAUUUUUAGCAAGAUUUUUUACAACAGCAAUAAUUCGUAUUAAUACUUUUUGCCAAUGUUCUUUUUCCUUGUCAAUUCUUUCUUGAACAUCUUUAUCAAUUGUUUUUCUUUUUGAUAGUCUUGCUUCUAAAUCAACCCAUGCAUUCAUAUUAGUUAUAUGUUCAUUGGUUGUUUCAUGACUUUUAAGUUUAGAACUAAGAUUUUCCAAUCUCUUGUUCCUUCAUCACUAAGUUGAUUUUUGCUACAACUUGUAUUGAAUAAUUUGCAACAAAAACAAUAUACUUUGUUAAAAUCUUUUGAAUAUAUUAACCAUUUUCUAUCAUGUUUUUCUCCAUUUGUUAACAUUUUAACAUAAAAUGCAGUAGAGAAAUGCCUAGAAUUUUCAUCUUUUGGGAAAGUUAUGUUAUUCUCUCUAAUUGGGCCUUUUUUCUACUAAAAGAUCUCUUAACUUUGUAUCAACAUUUUCCCAUCUUCCUGGAUCAUAAAUAUUAUUUGGAACAAAUAAAUUUUCUACAUCAACUUUGUCCGCAUUUUUAUUUUUAUCAUCUUCAAUGUUGUUUAUUUCAUUCACUGUUUCAUCAUUAUUUAAUUCAUUUAAACUUGGUUGUUCAAUAGCUAAUUCUUCAUUUAAAUCUAUAUCUUUUUUAUUAGUUGUGACAAAUUUAUCAAGAGCUCCUUUUUUAGAUUGGACUAACUUUUCUAUUCUCCUCUUUUUUUUUUUCAAUUUUUCAUAUCCCGAUACAUAUUUUCUAGUUGACAUGCUUUUCAAAUAAAAAAAAACAAAUAAACAAACACAAUUUUUUUCUAGAUUAUUCAAGCCAAAAUCAAUACAAAAAAUCAAAAAUAAAUUAAAUUUAAAAAGGAUAAGAACAGUAAUAAUAAAAAAUAGAAAAAAAUAGAAUGAUAGCACCUGGAUUUGAGUCAAUUGACUAGUUGAGAUGAAGAUGAUGAUGGCAAUGAAUUUUGUAGAGAAAGAGAAGAGAGCACAAAAUUUUUUUGCUGAAAAUAGCUUUGAUUCAAUGUGUAUCGGUUUAUAGAUAAUGAGGUUUUAAAUAUAUUUUAAUAGAAUACCAAAAGUUAGUUCUAAAAAUCUAACGUUACUAAUUUUAAUAAGAGUUUUUUUUGGAAAGGGUAAGCAUUGAUUGUUUUUUGGGAAAUAGUUAAAGAAAGUAAAGAAGUAACGUUCAAAAUCAUUAUUAUAGCAUAAAAAUAUAUCUUAUAUUUAAGGUAAAGAUUAUUAAAUAAGAGAGAUAAUUAUGAAUGAGAGUAAUGAUAGGGUAAAGCCUAAAAAUUAGGCUUUUUUUACUGUAUAAAAAAUAUAUACGUAACUUAAUUUUUUUGAAUCUUAAAAAAAUUAAUUAUAUUAAUUAAUAAAUAGAUACAAAAAAUCAGGGCCUUCCUAAAUACGGGGCCUUAGGCAACUGCCUAGUUCGCCUAGCAUUAAAGCCGCCACUGAUUUUAGAAUAAACUUUAAUUUGCCCCUCACUUAAAAUGAUAAGUCUUUGAUUUACUUCUAGGAGGAUAAGGCUCAAACUCACGACUUCCGCCCUAAGAAGGUAAUGCUCUUAUCAUUCAGUGCUAAGUCUUUGCCUCUAUAAACAACCAUACAAAGAACAUGCAUCUCUUUUUUAUUCCCCCCCCCCCCCCCCCCACAAAAAAAAAAAAAGAAAAAGAAAUCCAUCACUGCAUCCACAAUUUGCUCUCACCUUAUUGAAUGAAAAUGAAGGCUAAAUUGAUAUUUUCACUCUUUUAGGUGAUAAAACCAAGAUUGUUGUUCUAUCGGGAGAAUGAAUUAAAAUUUAUCAACUUUUUAAGUUAGAUUUCUCCGGUAUGUCUCGAAAUGAUUGAGGCUAUAAUAAGUAUAGGUUUUAAUAGAAAAAAAUAUCGGUGGAUUGGCUGUCAAAUAUUCCCUUCACAAAGACAAAAUAUAGCUUUUAUUCUAAUUCUUCAUAGGCUUUAUUUGAUUAUUUCCAAUAACAAUCCAUUAUAACAGUGAAUAGCUUUUUACCAGCCGUAGUUAAGAUAUUGGAUUAGAAGCAUAGUUUGAGAAGCCAAACAAAACUGAUUCCUUGGAAGAAAUGUAUUGAAAACCUUGAAUCACUCAAUAUGUGUAACAAAUUUACAAGUUAUCUUCAAAAUUCCCAAAGCAAACUUCGCCAAAAUUUAAUUUCCCUCCCACGAAAUUUUUUUUUUUUUUUUUGCUUUGAGCAGCUAACUUUCACAGUAGGCUUUACAACUCAAAAAAAGCCAUAUCCUAGUUAAAGACAAAUCCAGGUCUUAUAAAGUAGCUUAGGAACACCGCGAUGGGAAAUUCUUGUGCAUGAACAUGCAACUCAAUCAAGCACAGAUAAUGACAUAAUGGAACCGAAUUAAGUGUCGAACAAAAUACAGAAUGAAAAGAGUUAUAUCAUUGGUAAAAAGUUGUAUUGCUAACUGCUUGACACUAUCAGUCAAUUAAUUUUAUGGACUGACCAUCAGUGACAAAAUGCAACAAAUAUUUCGAUAAAGUCAUAAGUUUCCCAAUAGAGCUAAUUGGUUUGAAAGGUUUAAAAUAUACUUUCAAGGCAAAAAAGUUGUCUACAAUUAAACUUUUAUUAAGACUCAUAAUACAGAAAGAAAUUUGCUAAAGAAACAAAUAGUAAAGAGGAUGAAUAGUAAAAAUGCCAUCGGUAAGACAUAGAUGGACCGGAAAAGGAGUAUCUUGAUGAUACUGGUGCAGCUAUCAAUUUUGGCUUGCGCCCUUCGCACGGGUGUUACCUGUUGUGGUUUGAUAAAGCACUUGUGGCAUACAAUGAGUAUAACCAAUCAGCUUGAUCAAUUUCUCUCCCCUUCUUAAGGGAUCAAAUUUACAAUGCUUUCAUAAUGAAUACAGCAGAUGGUGGCUAAUUGCCAAACACUUGACAAUGAUAGGCAAAUUCUUCUGUCAGAAAGCGGGGUGAAAAAGGUCAGAAUCUUGAGACCUGCUCAACCACAAGAAUGCAACAAAAGGGAAUCUGAUAAUAUACAAUGGGAAAUCAGAUUAUUAGCUUUCUCAUGAACAUUUCAAUAAUCUGAGCCACCAGUUUAUGACAAGGAAGCUUCUAAUGGUUACAACAUUCUAAAUCAUAAAAAAUGGUUCGAGGUCUCUAGCCAGAAGCACGUUGUUUAAAAUGUCAUUUGACACGCAGCAAUACAAUCCACCAUCCGAUCUUAUUAACUUCCGCUAAAAAUAAAGUGAGAUUUUAUUAAAGAAAGGAAAUUUAUAAAAGCUAACAUACCAUCACAAAAAACUUCUUAGUUCAAAUCUAAGUACAGAUGAAAUAAUCAGAAUAAGUUUAGGCUCAAAAGCAUUGGUGUCUCCUUUAAACAUCUAUUCAAACAAAUUCUGCAAUUCCUCCAAGGUCUCCUCACCAUUUUCCUGUCAAAUUUACAAUCCAAGCAUACAAAGAUAAAUACCAAGCAAUAACACUGCUGGAAGAUUAAGUCAGGUUUGAAUAAUUCAAUUAUUCAAUUCCUCCAAGAACAACUUUUGUGGGGCCCACAUAGAUGUCAAAAAGUAAGCAGUGGGCACUGCUAGUGCUCAACCGCAAAGGAAAAAGAAAAAAAAAGAAGAAAUAAGAAGAAGAAGAAGAAAAGAAAGUGGCGGGCCGCUCAGCAGAAAUAAUAAUAAUAAAAUACUAAUAAAUAAAUAAAAUAAUAGGCAUGAACAGAAGCCAAUUUUUGGCUAUAAAGGACGCUUCUCCUCAUUUCAACAUCCAGUUUGAGAGAAGCAUUUCCUACAUUUAGGGAGUUGAGAGUAUUAAGAAUUUAAUAAACUCUUGGCUUGAGAGAUUAGUGAAUAAGCGAUUGGGUACAUUGGGGUUCUGGAUAGUGAGCCAAAAUAUUACAAUACUUGUAAUUCUCAUAUCACUAGUAAAAUAUUUUUCUUCUGUUUUCACCCGUGAAUCUAGGUUAAAAGCCGAACCACUUAAAUCCUGGUGUCCCUGUGUGAUUCUGUUGUCUCAUUAUUUCUCAAUUUCACUUUAAUUGCGUGUCUGCUUCACCAAUCAAUUUCCCAACAAUAGAACUUAUAUGUAAUUCGCCAUUGAACAAGACCAAAACUAGGCACCAUGAAUCACUACUUUUCAGAGCAUGAACACACUGAGGAUAAAAAUAAAAACAGAUUAAAAUAUGUUGCCCUUGUGACUAAAUGACCCAUUUGCAAUCUGAUUAGGAGAAAUCAAAAUACCGUCAUUCUUUUGCCAACCAGCAAAGUAAAAGCCAUAACUAAAGCUUGGAAAAAGCUAAAUAAUGCCUAGGAAUUUCCAAACACAAUUCUCAAAUUAUUCUAUAGAAAACAUAAAUAUGCAUUGAAGAAUGCUUACAUUAGUUUGUGUUUGGCUCAUCAUCACAGCCAUUUCAUUCAAGAAAUCUCCCAUUCCCUCAAAACAAAACUAAAAAGUCUCAUGUAAUAAAAUCCUCCCCCGUUCCCCACCCCCCCCCCCCUUCUUGUAGGAGUUAAUUUUCAUGUAUCUUCAAAGAAACAAAAGCGCAUUAAAAAGUUAAAGAUGAAAUGAAAACAAUAUAUAUAUAUAUAUAUAUAUAUAUAUAGAGAGAGAGAGAGAGAGAGAGAGAGAGAGAGAGACACACACACACACACGCGCGCGCGCGCAAAAUUGGAGCUCAUAUUAUUUUUUUCAUCAUCACUAUCAUAGACUCCUACAUAGUACAAGAACCUCUUGUUGGCAUCAGAUAGAACUUGAAGAGAGAAGAAGGAAAACAACAUCUCGUGAAUCCGAUAAUUAUCCAUCAUUAUAAAAAAAGAUUACAAUUUUAUUUCUUAUUGUAUACUACAAAUUACAUGCAUAAUAAAUAAAUAAAUAAAUAAAUAAGAAUUAAAAUUUUUGGAAUUUAGUAAGGUUAACAGCAGAAUAGGCAUGUUGAAUGGCGUAAAAUCUCUUCGUGGCUUCUUUCACAAAUUUUGGAUCUCUUGAAGUUGAACAACGACUUGGAUAUAUAGAGCCACAACCACCUUGUAAAAAAAAAAUCAUACGUAUGUUGCAUGAGAAGAUUGGUUGUAUAAAACUGUUAUAGACCCACAUGAUUUAGAAAAAUAAUAGUUAUCCAUUUUUAGUUAAUGUCUUUAUGCCACAUUAGUUUGUUUACACAAGUUCUUAAUGUUUGUGGUUAUAUCAUUAUUGAUUUCGAAAAUAAUAUUUUAAUAUUUUUAUUGCAAAUGAUAGGAUAUUUUUUAACACAUUGGAUGCUUUUGGAUUUAAUGAUACCUUUGUUUAUUUCAUUUAUUGUUUCAUCUAACAUUGUUUGAUGAGUGAUGAUAGAGUUAAAAGCUCUUGUAUAAACUUAUUUUAUACAAAUUUGAAAUUUAAAUUUAUUGAUUGAAUGAAAUUACCAAAUAAUAAAAAUAAAUAAUGUGGGUCAAGAGCUAGGGGUAAGCAAACUCAAUCCAAUCCCGGUGAAUUCAAUCCAACCUGACAAAUCCAGUCCAACCCAAUCUAAUCCAAUCAAAUUUUGAUGGAUUAAGUGAAUUAUUAUAGGGUUAAUUAGGUAAUUUUUUAGAAUCUAAUUAAUAAUUGGGUUGGGUUGGGUUGGAUUGGGUUAAUUAUGAUAAACCUGUCUCACCCAACCCCAUCCAUGUAAAUAAUAGUAAUAGUAAUAAUAGUUAGGCAUCCAGUACUGCUUACCAAAUAGAAGCUAAUUCCUGCAAAUUACAUGAAAAUUGCACGAAAUAUCAUUAUCCUUAUUUUCUUGAUUUCACCUUCAUUGUGUAUUUUUCUCCAGCAAUUCCAAACUUACGAAGAGGAUUCGGGCCACGUUCUAUGCAUCAUAUGGAAUGCGGCCAUUUUUCUGUGUAAUUUGUGAGGCGUUAUAUUACAUGGAGCUUGACUUCUUUCUUUCUAUCAAGGGUCAGAUGGCAUUGGUGAGAGUUUCUUCUGUUUCUUUGUUGAUUGUUUUGCUUUUGGCUUUUUUAUUAAAGUUAUUUUGAAUCCGCUUUCAGAUUGUGUGUUUAAUGAUUUGAUUAAAUUAGUGUUUAGUUAAAUGUAUUUGGAUUUCUGGAGUAUUUCAGCAGUUAAUGAUGAAAUUCAGCAUUAAAUUAACUCAUAAUCAUUCUAAUUAUUGAAUUUUUUGUCAUGAAAAAUCAUUUAGUAUUAUUGCGGCAGUAAAAUUCAAUGAAGUAGCAUUCAAUAUAUAAAUAAAUACGGUUUAAUCAAAUCGUACAUGUAUCAUUCAGCUUACAACAAUCGAAGGAAUUGAAGUUUUCGGAGUGCUCAGUUUAAUCAAAUCAUGAGAAAUAAAUACGGUUGCAAAGUUGGAUACUUAUUAGUUGCUAUAAAUUUAACUAAGUCGUUAAACGUGUACGUGAUUGCCACUAGUAUUGAAAUCAAAACAUUCAAUUGAUUUAUGGUCUCAAGUAAUAAAGGUUCCACAAAUUUCUUUACAGAGCUUUCUUUUAUUUUCUUUCAUUUUCUAGCUUGCCAAACAAUAUAGAACUAAGUUUCUUUCAAUUAUAAACACCUGGCAAAGACACCAGGUUAAUUUUUAUCUCUUAGCACUCUGUUUUGCACCGAGAUAUCCAAUAUAUACUAGUUUAUCAGAUAAUUUUGAUUAAUGUUGAGUGAUAGUGUAUUAGUCUCCUAGUUAAUUAAAUGUGAAAACAUUAUACUAUAUACUAGUUGAUUGAUUCUAGUUUUUUUUAAUCUUCUUGUUAUUUUCCACGACAUAGCUGAUUUAAAGACUUGGCCCAACUCAUCCCUCUAUGUUCAUUUAAUGUUACUAGUUUUUCUGCCCCAAGGUUGACUUGAUGGUAGGUUAUUUUGAUUAACUUGUAUUUUUGGCUGAAUAUUGACAAAAGCAAUCAGCUCAUGUAACGUACUCUGUUUUCCACUAAAAAUAUAAUCAUUUAUUACCUCUAGUUUAUCAAAUGAUCAUGAUUAAUGCUGCUAGGAAAGCUUUAUUAGUCUUUCUUUUAAUAUAUCAUUACCAAUCUUGCCAACUUUUGCUUAUCUUUCGCGGUCUUUGUUUAUAUUUCAUGAUCCCCGAAAUACACGUCAACGCAACCAUUUCCUAUAGCAAAUGUUUUUAACUCUUUUUAAGUUAUUGGAUUGCUGCUUUCCAUGCAUAUAAAUUAUGGAAUAGCUUACUUAAUCUUUCAUUAUCAUCACCAAAUCUCGAAUUGUUUGCAUUAUUUUCUUUUUGAAAAUGCUUCACGGAAUCAAAUUACUAACAGAAGUCAUAAAUGUCCUGCUCCAGCAUUUUCUUAAUCAUCCAACUUUUCUCGGAUUCUCUGAAAAUCCCUUAUACAUUUUCUGGUUCCCUUUUCUUAAUCAUCCUUUUUCUAAACCUUCUUUGCAGAUCUUUCACUGUACUCCCUUUUUUUUUCUAGCUUUUUCACUCCUUGCCCUCCUUGUCUCUUAUUUCUUGUUGUGAUUGGUUUUGUUUUUCCCUGUUUUCUCAAAGCAAAAUAAAAAUAAAAUAAAAUAAAAAGGAUAAUGGAAAUUCUUACCUCCGUUGUUGCAAAAGUUUCAGAGUACUUGGUUGCUCCCAUUAUUCAUCCAUUUACUUACUGCUGCACGUACAAGACCAACUUCGAGAAGCUGAAGAAUGAUGUUGAUAAACUAAAGAAUGCUAGAGACAGUGUACAGUAUAAAGUAGAUGAUUCCAAAAUCAAAGGGGACGGAAUUCAACAGCACGUUGAGGAGUGGCUGAUUAGUGUGGACGAGGUCAUCAGUGAAGUUAGGAAGCUUACAGAAGUUGAAGAAAAAUCAAACAACCAGUGUUUUAAUGGGUUGUGUCCCAAUUUGAAGACCCACUACCAGCUUAUCAAGAAAGCAGAAAGGGAGGUGAAUGCUAUUGUUGGACUCCAUGAAAAAAGGAAAUUUGACAGUGUUUCUUUCCGUACAAUUCCAGAGGAGAUAUGGCUUAAGUCCACCGAAGGUUUCAUUCACUUUGAAUCAAGAAAAUCCACUUUGAAGGAAAUACUAGGCUCAUUAAGCAAUCAUAACUUCAACAUGAUUGGGGUAUACGGGAUGGGUGGCAUUGGAAAGACAAUGUUGGUGAAGGAAGUCGCUGGGCAAGCCAAGGGAAAUAAUCUCUUUGAGAAGGUCAUUUCUGCGCAAGUAUCCCAAACACCACAAAUAAAGAAGAUACAAGAAUAAAUUGCAGAGAAGAUAGGUUUGGGAUUAGUUGAAGAGAUUGAAACUGUUAGAGCAGGGAGGCUAUAUGAAAGAUUGAAAGUAGAGAAGAAGAUCCUUAUAAUCUUGGAUGAUAUUUGGGGGAGUCUUGACUUGGAGGCUGUUGGAAUUCCAUUAGCAGAUGAUAACAGCAGAUGUAAAGUUCUGCUGACAGCAAGAAGUCUAGAUGUGUUGUCUUGUAAGAUGGAUUGUCAACAUAAUUCUUUUAUCGAUAUUUUGAAUAAGAAAGAAGCUUGGAGUCUUUUUAAGAAGAUGGCAGGUGAUUGCAUAGAAAAUAGUGAACUAAAAUCUGUAGCGACAGAUAUAGUCAAGGAAUGUGCUGGUUUGCCCAUUGCCAUUGUACCCGUAGCAAAGGCGUUGAAAAAUAAGAGUCUCUAUGAAUGGAGGAAUGCUUUACGACAAUUACAAAGGCCUUUUUUGAUAAGCUUCUCUGGGACACAAGCGGUGGCCUAUUCAACUGUAGAGUUGAGUUACAAUCAUUUAGAAGGUAGGGAACUUAAAGAAACAUUAUUGCUAAUAGGGUACUCGUUCAUCUGUUGUGUUGAAGACUUGCUCUGUUAUGGCAUGGGUUUGGCUCUGUUUCAAAACAUCAACACGUUGGAAGAAGCACGAGAUAGAGCGCUUACAUUGGUUGAUAAGCUCAAAAACCCUUGCUUGUUGCUUGAUGGAGUUACAAGUGAAUGGUUUGCUAUGCAUGAUGUUGUUCGUGAUGUAGCCAUAUCAAUUGCAUCAAGAGACCAACAUGUAUUCGUAGUGGAUAAUGAUGUUGUCCCACAGAUCAAAUGGCCAGAUAAGGAUAAACUAAAGGUUUGCACUGCAAUCUCCUUAAAUAAUAGUAAUAUUAGUGAGCUUCCUCAAGAGUUGGAAUGUCCACACCGUGAAUACUUUUCUAUUGGCAGUGAUCCUUCGUUGAGAAUCCCAGAUAACAUUUUUACUGAGAUGACAGAGCUUAGAGUACUUGUUUUGUUAAUUACCAAAGUUUAGCCGUACUUUUGAUAAUCAUUUGAUAAUUAAAUGCGUGCUAGUGAGGAAAUACUCUUAAUUAAUUAAUGUGUUAGUGGAGAGUAUGUAGUGUUAUUAUUAUUUCCUAAACAAUAAUGUUUAUAGGAAAAGUAAAACUACAAAAAAAAAAAGGGGGGAAAAUAAUUGACCAUUAAGUGUCCAUUUUGUAUGAUUUCUCUACUAAUAGAUCAAGAGAGUAAUUUUGCUUUUGAAUAUUUUUUGGCAUCGUUUGGCUAUAAAUUGAAUAGAGUUUAUUAAAAAUAUUAUUUUGUCUUUAUUAGGAGAAGUUUAAAUUUUGGACUUCUAGGAGAAUAGGUUGUAGAGCUCCUUAAAAGAAUUAGAUUUUCUAAAAUACACCUAUUUAACUGCAUGCAUAAUCCUAUUUCAUUUGUUUUAUAACAUAUAGGUUUAAUAGGAUCCAGCUACUUUGCAACAGUUGCAAGGUGCCACCAUUUUUGUCUUAUGGAGUUAUGUUAUGCAUGUUAAAUUUUCUUUAACCCCUUACUAGCCUUCUUAUUUACCUUUUUUUUUUUUUAUAAGUUUAUAUACUUUAGCUGGUGACCUUUGAAAAUGUAAUUUUAUUUUAUUUUUUUACAUUUAUUUAUAAGUUUAUAUGCUUUGGCUGGUGACAUUUUAAAAUGUAAUUUUAUUUUUUUAAUAUUAUUUAUUUUUUUAAAAGAAUAAAUAUAAUAAUAAGUUUAUGACUAAAUAAUAUUUAUUUUUUACGACUCAAUAUUUUUUUUUAUUUUAUUUAAUAUUAUUUAACUUUUAAAAAAAUAAAUAUAAUAAUAAGCCUAUGAAUAAAUAAUAUAAAAUUAAUAAAAUUAAUUUUUUAAAAUAAAGUUAAUAAUAUUAUAAAUAAUAUUUAUUGUUUAAGGUUCACUAUUGAUUUUUUUAUUUAAUAUUAUUUAGUUUUUUAAAAGAAUAAAUACAAUUAUAAGCCUAUGGAUAAAUAAUAUUAAAUAAAAUAAAGUUAAUAAUAUUAAAAAUAAUAUUAAUUUUUAAGACUCAUUACUAUUAUUUUAUUUUAUUUAACAUUAUUUAGUUUUAUGAAAGAAUAAAUAUAAUGAUAAGUUUAUGACUAUAAAACGUUAAAUAAAAUAAAAUAAAUAAUAUUAAUUAAAAAUUAUAUCUAUUUUUUAUGAUUCACUAUUGAUUAUUUUAUUUUAUUUAAUAUUAUUUAGUUUUUUGAAGAAUAAAUAUAAUAAUAAGCAUACGCUAAAUAAAAUUAAAUAAAAUGAAAAUAAAUAAUAUUAAAUAAUAUUUAUUUUGAAUAAAAUAAAUAACAUUAAAAUUUUAUUCUUUUAAAUAAAAAUAUAUAAUAUUAAAAUUAAAAUAUUUUUUAAGACUUACUACUAAUUAAAUAAUAUAAAUUGGAAACAAUAAAGACUUAUAUGCUAAAAAUUUUAACUCUUUCAUUUUUUUGUGUUUUUAAUACUUAUCAAGAAUAUAAUGUUAGUAUUCAAAUGGACAAAUCUCUACCAUUGAAAUUACCUUUUUCAUUAAAUCCAAAGGUAAAGGAAUAAAAUAAAAAAAAAAAUUAGUUGUACCUUGCAGCCGUUGCAAAGUAGAUGAGUCCAGGUUUAAUAAACUUGUUACUAAAGUAAUUUUAAUUUACAACUUUUUUUAAAAGCUUUUUUUUUAUAACUAAACAACUAAAGAUUUUCAUUAAAAACUUUAAGGAUCCUCUUCCUCUAAGUUACAGUUACAGCUGCGUUUGUCUUUUUCUGAAUUCUUGCUGUAAAAUAUUGUUCAGCCCCUUUUACUUAAUAGUAUUUACAAUUUAUCAAUAAGUAUAUAAAAAUUUCUAUAUUGUAACAUUUCGUUCAGCCCCUUGCACUCUAUUUUAUUUCAUUAAAAACCUUAGCGUAUCAAAUUUAUCCCCUAUAUUUUUUAAAUUCCCAAACUACCCUCCAUUUAAAUAAAAAUAAUUAUUAUUAAAUGGAUUAUAAUUAUAAUUACUAGUUUAUUGUAAUUACUAUUAAUAAGAAUAAUAAAAAGUAUUGUAAUUAAUUAAUCUAUUAACAAUAAUUAAUAAUAAUUUUUUAGUUAAAUUGUUAAUAAUAACAAUUGUUAUUUAAACAUUUUUGAAUUUUUUAGUUAAAUCAUUUAUAGAACUAAACACAAAUUUAAUCAAAUCAUUAAACAUGUACGUGAUUGCCACUGGUAUUAAAAUCAAAACAUUCAUGCAACGAUUAAUGAUCUUAAAUUUAAGGUUAAAAAUGACCUAAUCAAUUUCAGCAACUAUGUCCAAAUGAUUUUGGUUUUGAUGUUUACAAAUAUGAAUUUUUCUUUUCGGCUCAAAUUUCACUAAUGAAUAUACCAAAACCUCAAAAGUUUUUCUUUCACUUUGAUGAUUAUAUUGUGUUCACUGAAAAAAUAUUAGAGCACCUUCGUUGCACUACACCCACUUAGUGUACAUAUGACAUAUAUGUACUAGAGAGUAAUAGUUACAUUUAAUUCACACAUACAUCGUUCAGCGUUUGGAAUUCGUCAUUGGGGUCCUCACGUGUAAGCAUCACGUGCACCACUAAUUCUGAGUUUCUGACGAAGUCUAAGUUCAGUUAAAAUUCUUUGCAGCAGGAAGGUGGUGUGGUGAGUAGCUCCCUCAACUUGUGAACCGUGAUUAGUCAAAUAAUCAAGUACACGUGGCAUCAUGAAACGCUUCGAAGAAUAACCUCGGCAGGUCUGUCCAGUAUGAUGACAUGUCAGCAACGUUUUACAACAGAAAGCUGCUAUGGGGUAAGCAUGAUAGUGGUAGCGUAGAAGCUGUGUAUGCAUAUCACCCGUCUGUUGAAAUGCUCGCAGUAAUCAAACCUCUUAUAACACUGCUUCAUCUGUCAAGUCAAAUUUUCCUCGGAGUCAAGAAAUGGAGAACUAACAGGUAUGCAUUUCUGAAACCAUUAUUAUAUUCAAACACAAGGAUUCGUAUAAAAGCUUAUAAAUGAUUAUGAAAGUAAGCAUGACGGAAUCAGCAUUUCUUGAUUUUCUUCAAUAAGCGGAAAUAGUGUGUCCCAAUAAAUUUAUAAACGAUGCGUGAAAAUAUUAUAUUAUAUACUUAGUUGUAGUUGAUUGAUUUUCCUUUUAAUCUUCCUGUAAUAUUCCACGACAGAGCUGAUUUAAAGACUUAGCCCAACUCAUUCCUCUAAGUUCAUUAAAUGUUAAUAUUUUUCUGCACCAAGGUUGACUUGAUGGUGCGUUAUUUUCAAUUUUUUUCAUUGACUUGUAUUUUUGGUUUAAUAUUCACAAAAAAUAAAGAAAGCAAUCAGCUCUUGUAACGUGCUCUGUUCUGUUUUCCACCAAAAAUAUAAUUAUUUGUUACCUCUAUUUUAUCAAAUAAUCAUGAUUAAUGCUGCUGGGAAAGCUUUAUUAGUCUUUCUUUUCUUUUAUCGUGGUCGUUGUUUGUAUUUGAUGAUCCCAAAAUACACGCUACGCAAUAUAGCAAUUGUCGAUUCCACAGUAAAGCAUAUAAAAUAAUAAGUAGGUUAUGUGAUCUUUCAUUGUCAUCACCUAGUCUCCAAUUGUUUGCAUUAUUUUCUUUUUGAAAAUGCUUCACGAAAUCAAAUUACUAAUAGAGGUCAUAAAUGUACUGCUCCUGCAUUUUCUUAAUCAUCCCACUUCUCUCAAAUUCUCUGAAAUCCCUUAUACGUCUUCUGGUCUCGUUUUCAUAAUAAUCGUUGUCCUAAACCUUCUUUGCAGAUCUUUCACUGUGCUCCCUUUUUCUUAUUUCUAGCUUUUUGCUUUUCUUUUUCACAUGGUCUUUAUUUAUAUUUGAUGUUUCCAAAUAUACACGCAACUAUUUGUGGGGAGUUAUGUUGCAACAGUGGUACGAUAUUAUUGUUGCUUUCAAUCAUUGAAUUUACCUAAUACAAUUGUACAACUAUAAAUUUAAUGGUUAGUUGCAACCACUGUUUCACCAUAGUUUUGCCCCCAUUUGUGACAGCGAAUAUUUUUACCUAGUUGUUGGAUUGUCGCUUUCUAUGUUUUGUCUUUUUGGUCGACUUUAACAUGGUUUAGAGUUUUUGAACGCGUCUUCCAAGUGCAGAUGCCGAGUAUAUCAACAGUUCGAUGAAAUGCCCAUAUGAAUAAUUUGAGGACCCAGGGGGCCCGCUACUGGUACUAUAAGUCUCAUCUUUUGUCUUUUUUUUGUAUAUCUAAUUUUUUUUUUAAAUGAUAAUAAAGUCCGCAAACUUCGGCUUUAUAGUUUGUAGGAGGGUAAUUAGAAAAGCACAUAGGUCACUUCACUUUGGGUCUCUUGGCCUUCAUCGGUUCAUUGUAAUUAUCAACAGUGAAAGAACAAGACAACUGUGAUGCAUUUUCACAAAAAAUUUGCAAAGUCUUCAGAUUUUUUUUAUCCUACCGCCAACACACUCAUUGCUAAUAGAAAUUUUUUAAGUAAUAUUGUUGUUAUUGAAUGUAACUGACAUGUAAUUAAGAUACGCCCUCCGUAAUUACAUGAUUGUUAUUUAUAUAGAGGGUUUUUCCCGUAAUGUUCUUUACAAAGCGCUUGUGUUUAUUGGCUAAAAGGAUUAGCAUUUUGAUUGUUCGUAAAGCACUCGAAAACUCGCCCUGAAUCAAAAAUCAUUCUCAAUCUAUUUAAUUCUCUCUCUCUGCUAUUAUUGCUUAUCAACUGUAAUUUUUAAAUUAUAGUAGUAAAAUAUUUGAUUAACACUUAAAAUUAAUGGAAGCUACCAUAAAAUUUGCUUGAGAAGCCUUAGAACUACAAGUUGAAAAAUGUCGGCAACUCAAUAGCUACUGGUAACAAGAAAAUUCAAUGAAACGCCAAAAUGCCCAAUUAACACCAUCUACAUGUAAUUGUAACUAGGGUUAUUAUUGCUUGACUACAUUAUAAAGUAUGAAGCAUCCAAUAACAAAAAAAAAUAUUAAUGUUUAGCAUUUUAUUACUGUAUCUUUGUAAAUCUUUCAUUUUACUAUAUUUCCGUUUAUCAUUGUUAGUUAACUAGUAAAAUACCAAGUAUGACCUUAUUUUAAAAAUUAAUUAAAUUUUUAAUAAAAAAUAAGAAAACAAAAAUAAAAAAUUAACCCCAGUUGAAGAAUACCUCUCUUCGCUGUCAAAACUCCUUAUACUUGUGAUUAAAUAUCUUCCUCUAAUGCUAAAUUGCUAAUUUUGCUCUCAUCAAAGUAUCAAAUUGAAACCACCGGUGAGGCUUGAAGAUAACAAGUUGAAACUGCCAUUAAAGCUCGGAGAUCAAUAUGUUUUCUAUCAAUCUUAAUUUCUAUUUCAUAAAUCCUUCAAACUCAUAGUAAUAAAACCAUCAUUCCAUAGCCAAAUCAAACUGAUCAAUCGAAAAGCAAUCUCAAAGAAUUUUGAUAUGAAAUCCACUUUGAAAUUGAUCACGCAUUCCUAGAGAUAAAUCAUUUUUUAAAAAAUUACACAGCCACUGCUGCUGCCAAAAUUCCUCUUUCAGAUGAGACCCUCAAUGCCAAUGCAUGGCUUAAUACCCAUUCGAAAGCGCCAAUAAUUUUUCAAAGAUGGUAGACCACUGUUUGGAAAAAGAAAAAAAAAUGAAGGAAAAAAAGAUAACGAUGACGCUAGAUAUUUGUGAUUCCAAUUUUUUUUCCCUCUUUCUUAACCAAUAAUAAAUAUGCCGCCCUUGUAAUGUUAAUUUGCAUACAAUUUUAUCAUAGUUUUGAAUGUAAAGACACUUUUAUGCCUUUGAUAUUAGUAUGACGUUAGUUUUGGACUCACAAUUUUAACAAAAAUAUUAUAAAAUAAAAGGUUUUUUUUUAAAGAUACACUUAUAAAAUGAUAACACCAAUACUUCUUAUAGUUAUUUUAUAUCUUAUAAUUUUUUAUUUUUUAAAAUGAAACCAUAAUAACCCUUAUAACUAUCUAUCUCAAUCAUUGAGAAUCUAGUUGACUUAGAAGCACAAGUCUUCUCCUCAUAUGAAUUUAGUUUGGCAUUUUUGCAUUAUUCAGAUUACCCAUUGAGUCUUGACAUCAAACCUGUGCCUCUGUAUUUUUUUUAGCCUAAUCGCUUAGCCUACCUUAUUAUUCGUGUAUAAUCAAUUUUUUUUUUAUGUUUAUUAACAUCUAAUCACUAAUCUUUGUUUGCUUCGGUCAAAACUUUGAUCAAGAUAGAGUUGCAGUUUACUGAUAAAAUGAUCACGAUUUUAAAUUUAAAGAUUUGAUUCCAAGAUCCUAACAUUCACAUUUUAAUUAUAUUUGUUGAUAAACAAGAAAAAAAUUGAUUAGAAGAAUAUGAUAAUAAGAAGAUGAAAAUACUUGCUCAAAUACUCCGCCGUCUGCUUACAUACAAAUCCACUAUCUUAGCUUUUUAAUCACAUAUAUAAAUCAUCAUCAUCACCAGAUUAUCAUAUAUUUACUCAAUAAUCAAAGCUAGUUAUUGAAAGCUUUGAAUGGUCUUCCAAGUUUGAAGAUGAAGGCAGCACUUGCAACUUCCAGACCUUCAUGUAAGUUUAGAUAGAUGCCGAGUGUAUGGACUGUUCGAUGAAAUGCCCCUAUGAAGUUGAGGAAUGGAGAGAUUGCAUGAGGACCACAUGUUUGAAACUUGAAUUCAGACUGUUAUUAUUAGAAGCACAUGUCAUGGGGUCUCUUCACUUAAACUUUUGGUCCCAUCCUCUUGCCUUCUGUCACCUGGAUCUUCGUAGCAACUUUGCUGAGUAAGGUUGAUGAUUGUAGUGCUACGUUAUUUGUCACUUUAGUCUGGAUAUAAAGCUUAAAAUCGUGUCGGAGGGUAAUAAUAUCAGUAAACUUUUGACAAAUCACUGAUCAAUUGAUCUUUUCAAGUCACUUAUAUCGUUUCCAUCGGAUUUGACGCCAUCAAACCUAAAUUUUUUCCAGUAAAAAAACUGUCUUACCCCAUCACACACGAUAGAAUCUUGGAUCAUGAAUGAGUGAUGUCAAUUACAAUUAAAAGAUUUCAGUCUCAAGACCUUAACCCAUUUAGGUUAUUGAGCGAACGACUUAUCAAAAUGAGAAAGCUACAAAAUAUGUGACAAUAGUAGGACAGGCUGACAGCAAAGAAAGCCAUCAGCUCUUGCAGUGUAUUCUGUUUUGCACUAAAAAUAUAAACCAGUGAUCACCUCUAGUUUAUCAAAUAAUCAUGAUUAAUGCUGUAAGGAAAGCUUAAAUAGUCUUUCUUCCUUGUUUGUAUUUGAUGUUAGUCAGCGCAACCAUUAUUAUUCUCACAUUGUGUGCUUUAACUAUGAUCUUCUCUAAUUAAAAAUUGAGAUCCUCUCUUAAAUAGAGUUUACACUUGAAAAAUAUGUCUACAUUACCAUUCAUGUAUUGUCAAAAUUUGAGCUUAAGAUCCAACUAUUUACAAAUUAUUAAUUAUAUUUGUUGGUGAAAGCAAAUUAAUUAGAAGAAUGUGACAAUAAGAAGAUAAAAAUACUUGCUCAAAUUCUUCGCCGUGGGCUCGCUUACAAAUCCACUAGCUUAGCUUUUAAUCACACACAUAAAUCUUCAUCAUCACUAGAUUAUCACAUAUUAUACAAUAAUCAAAGCUAAUUAUUGAAACCUUUCUUUCAAAGUGAAUAGGAAAAAUUAUUGAAACCUUCCGAGUUUGAAAAUGCCGGCAGCACUUGCAACUUCCAGGAACCUUCGUGGAAGUGUAGAUGCUUAGUACAUCCAACUGUUCCAUUAAAUUUAAAUGCCGAAAUGAUUUCGAGGACCCACACGACCACGCAACAGUUUUUUUAAUUUCAUUUUAUUUGUAUAUCUAUUUCUGAAAAAUAAAAAAUCAUAAAGUCCGCAAACUUAGGCUUUAUAGCAGAGUUAUUAGAAAAGCGCAAGAAAAUUCAAUGAAAAUUUAAAAAAAAAUAUCAUGAAGUCCGGCAACGGCAGCAUAGCACUUACUGUCCAAUUAACCUAUAACUUUGACACUAUUUACAUGCAACUAUAACCAUCUAUCUCAGUUAUUAAGAAUCUUGUUGACUUGGAAGCACGAGUCUUCUCCUUGUAUGAAUUUAGUUUGGCUUUUUUGCAUUAUUCAGAUGACCCUUGAGACUUGAGAUCACAACUGCCUGCCUCCGCAUUUUCCUAAUCAUCCCUCUUCUCUAAUCUCUAGAGUUCUCUGAAAUCUCUUCUUCAUUUUCUGUCUCCCUUUUCUGAAUCGUUCUUGUCCUCGAUCCUACACCUUCUUUGCAAAGCUUUCAUUUUCUGCCUUUACAAAGGAUCCCCUUUGUUUUAUCUCUAGAUUUUUCACUCUUUGCCUCUCCUCCUCCCUUAAAUCUAUUCAACCUCUUAUUUUAGCAAUUUAUCCAAACUUCUUAUUUCCCUCUUCCCAGCUGAUUGAUUAGUUCUGCUCAGUUUGAUUAGUUUUGCUUUCCCCUGUUUUCUGAAAGGGAAAAAUAAAAAAGAAAAGGAUAAUGGAAAUUGUUAUCUCCGUUGCUGCAAAAGUUGCCGAGUACUUCGUUGCUCCCAUAAUUCAUCCAUUUACUUACUGCUGCACUUAUAAGACCAACUUCGAAAAGCUGAAUAAUGAAGUUGAUAAGCUCAAGAAUGCUAGAGACAGUGUGCAGUAUAAGGUUGAUGAUUCCAGAAUUAAAGGGGACGGAAUCCAACUGCACGUUGAGGAGUGGCUGAUUGCUGCGAACAAGGAGAUCAAUGAAGUCGAAACACUUAUUGAAGGCAAAGAGAAUUCAAACAACCGGUGUUUGAAGGGGUUAUGUCCUAAUUUGAGGACUCGGUACCGGC
rnacentral:lncRNA from 1 species